UCAUCCUAUUUUCUUCAGUUUGAUUUUUUUUCUUGCAUGUAAUGCCUCUUCCCCUAUGAGUUGAUUAUCUUGGGAGAGCAACUGUAGACAGUGGUUAAAUAAGGAACGCAUACGAAAAAUAUAUGUUCCAUGAACUGAUACCUAUGAAGAGUGUGCAAGGACAGAGGUAGUGACCAUUUCCAAAGAUGCUCUAGAGUUUAAAGUCCACUCAAGCAUCUGGAAGUUAAUAUUAGUUUUCAAUGGAAAUCUAACCAGCACUACUAGUGUUCAGCUUCUCAAUAAAUGCAGCACAGUUUAGAGCCUGGGGGAGAAUGAUGUUGGAUCAUUGAUGACCAUAAAAGAUGUGGGAGUCGUCUGAAACAUGCAUGAUGACCACAACAUUGCGAGUCUGAGGUCCACAUCAUAAUCUAUGCACUGCAUGCUGGGAUCCUGGUGAGAGAUGUUAGGAACAGUCUACUUUGAGCAUGGAGUUUUAAUGUAGAUUAAAGAAAAAAUUGGAAAUUGUGUCUACUAAGACAUAAUCCCAUAGGAAGAGUGCUAAUCAUCUUGACCGGGUAGUAUCUGAGUCAGAAACGAUGACAGAGGAAUCCCCAUAAGCCAUGGAAAGUCAUUGUCUAUGUUCCUGGUGACGUCAGAGUCAUGGGUUUUGAUGUGUCAGGAAAAGCCAAUCCAAUUGGAUUGAUAGCUCAAGCAAGGGAUUGGAUAGAGGAGAAGUGAUCAAGGCAGAUAGAUGUAAAUUAUGGAUGAGUAAAGAGAAAGUUAAUCUUUUUGUCAUUUUUUUCUGCACUUUACUCUCAGAAUAGAUACCUCCAAGGUGAUCUCCAAGUUCUUCCUCAGUCUUGAGGUUUGGGAUUCCCGGUUUGUGUCAGUAGAAUUGUGAGAGUGUGAGUUCAUCCUAUUUUCUUCAGAACGAUUUUUUUCUUGCAUGUAAUGCCUCGUCUCCCAUUAGUUUAGUAUCUUGGGAGAGCAACUGGAGACAGUAGCUCAAUAAGGAACGCAUACAAAAAAAAUAUGUUCCGUGAACCAAUUCCUAUGAAGACUGUGCAAUGACAGAGGUAGUGACCACUGUCCAAGAUGCUCUAGAGUUUAAAGUCCACUCAAGCAUCUGGUAGUUAAUGUUAGUUUUCAAUGGAAAUCUAACCAGCACUACUAGUGAUCAGCUGCUGAAUAAAUGGAGCACAAUUUAGAGCCUGGGGGGAUGAUAUUGGAUCAUUGAUGACCAUAAAAGAUGUGGGAGUCGUCUGAAACAUGCAUGAUGACCACAACACUGCGAGUUUUAGGUCCACAUCAUAAUCUAUGCACUGCAUGCUGGGAUCCUGGUGAGAGAUGUUAGAAAUAGACUACUUUGAACAAGGAGUUUACAUGUAGAUUAAUUAAAAUUUGGAAAUCGUGUCUAAUAAGACAUAAUCCCGUAGGAAGCUUGCUAAUCAUCUUGACCAGGUAGUAUCUGAAAUCCGAAAUGAUGACAGAGGAAUCCCCAUAAGCCAUGGAAAAUCAUUGGCUAUGUUCCUGGUGACGUCAGAGUCAUGGGGGAUUGAUGUGUCAGGAAGGGCCAAUCCAAGUGGAUUGAUAGCUCAAGCAAGGGAUUGGACGGAGGAGUAGUGAUCAAGGCAGAUAGCUGUAAAUUAUGUAUUAGUAAAUAGAAAGUUAAUCUUUUUGUCAUUUUUUUUCUACAUUUUACUCUCUGAAAAGAUACCUCCAAGGUGACUUCCAAGUUCUUCCUCAGUCCAGAGGUUUUGGUUUCUCAGUUUGAGUAAGCAGAAUGGGAGAGUAGAGGCCCACUUCAGAUCAACGAGUGGAUCCUGUCUCAACCUAAGCUCUAAGGUUGCUUGUGCUGUUAGGGUCACAGCUACAGGCCCAGGAACCCUCUGGAAGAGGAGGUGGAAAAAGUGUAAGAGCCAAUUGGAACGGAAGACAGCAAGGAAACACGGCCUUCUAGACCCAAGAUGACCAAUGUACCUAUGAACUCACAGAGCCUGGGGCAGCAUGCACUGGACCUGCAGAGGUCUAAGCCAGAUGUGCUCUCAGCACUCAGAGGGGAACUGAACCCCAUUCUACAUUGAUAAUCCAGAAGCUUUCCCCAGUUGAUAAACUCUGUCAAAGGAAAAACUAGUUUUCUCCAAUGGAGUCUCACUGGACAUAUAAACCACCCUUAAGAGCAGGCUCCACAGCCCUGAUGGCCAACAUGCAAUGAACGUGAUGGCAUUUCUAGAGGGUUUUGUGACUCACAGUGCUUUGUCUGGGUACUUUUUUCACGCUACAGAUAUUUUUUAUAUAUAGUUUGGUCUCUAAUUGUAAGUGUCUCAGUGUCUGAGUGAGUUUCUUGUGAUUUUCUUGGGCUCUUUUUUUCCUGUAAUGCUUUGCUCAUUUUUACUUCUUCUUCUUCUCCUCCUCCCCUUCAUUUUAGAUGCCUGUUUCUAUUCUAAUGUAAGAUGAAUAAAUGGGUGUGGAUUUGGAGGGGUGAAAUAGGGGGUGGGUGAGGGGAAACUGUAAUACAAAUAUAUUAUACAAAAAUACAUUUUAAUAAAAAAGUAUUUCCUCUAUGACUAAAGAGGUGUGAAGUACAAUUAUUGAGAGUGAGUGGAAGGAUCAAUGGAAAAUAUAAAUCAAUUCAUGGGCGAGUGGGUGCUUGCCUCAUUGUAUCAACCACACCCUGAGAUAAAAGAUAUUAAGAGCAGAAAAGACUGUGGGAUGGGGAUGGAUUUGACCCCAACACGUUAUAUGCAUGCCUGAAUCCUUACUAAUAAUUUUCAAAGAAAAAUAGCACUAAUUAUUUUACUAUCAAAAGAAAAUAAUAGUUAAGGGGUAGUGUCUUUUAGCUAAGAAAUAUGCAUGAUGUACCUACCUGUUUCGAGCAACAUGGGGAUGAAGCUCAUUAAGCAGUAUAGCACUUGCCGUAUAUCCACAAGUCCCUGGUUCUAUCCCCAGCACUCAAAAAGAAAUUGGUCAUUGGUCAAAGUAUACCUUCUUUUCAUUGAACGUACCAAUAUCCAUAAACUCUAUUAAAUAUAAUUGAACAAAGGAGCCAUGGUGAAUAUAGAAUUGGUCUACAUUCUUACAUAGGUCAGUCCACAUUUGAAUGCUUAUGGGUCAUCAGGGAGAUAUGUAUUGCUACAGCACAUGAGGCCUAGACAUGAAAAGCUAGCCCAAGUUCAUUUCAGUUUGUGGGAGGAUAGUAGUCUGUAGACUUCGGAUUAUUCACAGGGAGCUAGUGGGUUAAUUCGUAAACAAGGCUGGAGGAUAAGAAUUGAAUUUACCAGAACUCUGGAUCAAUAUUGCUGCUGGCAUGAGUCACAGGUGGUCUGGAGCACCGAAGCCCUCAGAUUAAAAACAAUUAUAACUUCUGCCUACUCCAGAAUGAAUGUGAUAAAUAGAUUUGGUGUUUGGUAAGGAUCUCGUCUCAGUUUGCUUUUCACAGGUUUUGAUUAUUUUGCGGUCAGGAAAUCAAUAUGAGAAAGUACAAUCAGAACACUUUGUGGGGCGCAUUACAGAGGUAUGUUUUUUUUUAUGGUGAGUAAUUUUAAAAUAUGAAGAAUCAAUGUACAACAAUAAGUUAGUAAAGAUAAGGGAUUACAAUUUCAUCCAAUGAUAAUAACAUGAGAACAAACACUAAUUAUUAACACUAUUAAUGCUAAUAGCUUAAAGGAUAAAUUUUCAGAGUUGUUUCUUGUGUUUAACAGUGAUGGCUGAUCCUCUUGCAUUUUGCAAAUGGAAGUUCAAUGUUGUCUUGUUAAUAGACUCUGAAAUACACAUGAAGCUAAAGCAGUUACAUCCAAGUGACCCAGUAAUACCAGGGGUAAUGGAAUAAAUCUCUCAAUUGUCUCAGUAUUUGUUCCAGUGUGUGGUAAGGUUGAGGCUACACUGGGUUCUCUGAGGUCUUGCCAUUGUCCACAAUAAGUAAGGACUGUGUUUGUGCCCAUUCCUCAUGUAUAGAGCACAACAGUAAGGACAGUUGACGUGAACUUGCACUCAAGCUAGAGAUAUGACAAAAAGCAUAUGGAAAAAUACAUUGUUUUUUUUUUAUAACUGAGUUUUCAUCAUUGAUAGCUAUUGUUGUAUUGUUAUUAGAGAUUUAUGAACUAAUCAAUUUUCAAACUAAGUAAGAAUGUCAAGAAAUGUACUCAACCCAGUGCUCCUGAUGUUGGGAUGUUAAUCCCACAGUGAGUCACUGUAUGAAGCUGUCAGGUCCAGGAUAGGCAGGGUAAAAUGUAUCAUUUCUGCUUGAAGAGCUCUUAGCCAUGGAUGCUAGGAAUGUCCCAGGACCUUUUCCUUAGAUAGUUUUUUAUUCAGUUAUAGUCUUGUAAUGUAAUUAGAUAAAUGUGACUACUACAGUAGACAUAAAAAUACAGACAAAGAGUGUGAAGCCAUUCAAAUAUGUAGCAAAGUCAGAAAAGUAUGUAAAUACAUUACUUUAAAUUCAUAUUCAUGAAAGUAACUUCAUGGAUGAAUGUGGACUGUGCCUUAAUCUCCUUUUAACUAUGUUUUGCUUUUGACAUCCUAGGAUGAACAUGUGACCUGGCUUCUGUGUCCUGCAAGUUUCUGGCCUGACCCUUACUCCUAAUGGUAGGAACAUUCUGUCCAAUAGAAAACAGUUCUUGGUUUAGAUUUUUAAACAUAUACUCAUUGUAACAUUUGAAAUGAGCGUAGAUAUAAUUUUCAAAAGUCAACCAUGGUCUAAGGGAUGAAUAGGGGUUGUAUAAAAUAACUUCUAGAUAGCAAUGAGGAUAAUUGAUGUGGAGGGGCUUAUUCAAUUAGAAACUAAUUCCAAAGACAAAUGGCCUUCGGGUAGAGCCUUUGUGAUUAAUUCAUUUAUUAUCCAUAAAUCAAUGUGCCAAUCAAUAAAAAUGUUAGGUGAGAAUGAAGAUAGACCAGAGAUGGUGUCUCAGUGGCACGGGACAUCUUCAUUAUCAAUACAGGCUGCGGCUCAGAUUGAACUCGCUCAGUUCCUGUCCUGUUACUGACCCUGCAGAGAAAGGUUAGGACUAUACAAUGAUCUUGUUUCAUACUCACAGCAUAUGCUUGGGCAGCCAGAGGACAACUUCUGGGAGCCCAUUCUCUCCUUCCAGUCUCUGGGUCCCUGAGAUUGGACUAAGGUCAUCCAGGACCCUGUUUUAUUUGGUAUUCACAUGUUUCGUUUGGCCAAAAUAAAUUAUUUAGAGACCAGCAAGCAUAAAGUAAAUAAACCAAAGCAUUGCCCUCCCAUGAAAAUAUGCAAGGAAGCAUGAAAUGUUAAUGUAAACUGUGAAUAUUGAUGUGUGUCAAGAACAAGUGUGGGCCCAAGAUCCAAUCACACAUAUGGUGUACUGAAAUAUCAUGCUUAUGGAUCAGAGCCACAAAUGCAGACACACGGAGAGAUGGUCAUUUUCAUAUAGGUGUUUAUGACAUGAAAUGUUUAAUUGCUAUCUGAAUGAAAUAAUGAGUGAAGUGGUGGAAAGAAGACUCUUUGCCGGGGGGUUCUUUCUUCUUUCUCACUUUCUUUGUCUUUUCUCCAAGGAAGGAUGCUUUACAGCUCCUGGAGGACCCAGCCAUGCUGUUUGCUUCGUGGGCGGAGGGCAUAGAAACUAAGGUGAGGAAAAUUAAAGUUUAUGUCCUUUCAAGUUUUUCUUAAAUCAUUUAUUAAAUUAUCAGAAGCGUAACAUAGGUUCCACAAGGCCAACUGGGAAAAAUGAUGAAUAUAGAAUUAGCCUGGAAUAAUUCCAUUUAUGAAUUCAUUGAUGGUAAUCGAGGAACAUGAUAUGAGUAUCAUAAAUGAUCCUAAAGGCAUGAAGAAUAUUCAUCACUCAGGUUUUAUGAAUCAUUGUUUUUAAAAUUAGGACCAUUGAAUUAAUUACUUCUUUAAUAAACACAUGUCAAUGAGUGUGAACAGAAGAGGUUCUAGUCCAGACUAAUGAGGGUGGCGCAGGGCUUAUGAUAUAUGAAGCGUGUUAUGUGUCUGACAUGCUGAGGUCCAUUUAUAUACAUAAAACCAUGAAUUUUACUAGCAAAUAUGCUCAGUCCAAAUGUAUUUUUUCUUUAAGGAUGGUAGACACAAAAAACAAUUCAGCUGUGAUGGUUUUCCUUAGAGAUGAUUAGCAAGUAUUUCCAUACCUCACAAGGGAUGGCAUGACAGGGAUGUGAGGGGCAGCUUGAUAACUCAGUGAUGUCUUCCCUAAGUGUGUUAAUUGUUUAAUAAUGCAGUAUGGUGAUUAGUCAUAGAAGAACCUGUUACAACAAGUGAUUGCAGAUCUAGAUGAUAAGCAGGGUCUUGCCUCUAAGUUUCUAACCAUUGCAUUGAUUUUAUUAGUGAAUUAGUUAUUAGUGAAUUAGUAAAUUGUGUAGUAAUCACAUGAAGGAGGAGGUCUGGCCCAGGACCAUUCUUAAACUGGUCACAUGUAAGUCAGUAAGGAUGAAUAAUUUAUGUGUGGAACUGUAAGGCACAAUCAUGUAGACAACUUUCAGGAACACACGAGGACGUUAUUCCCACUUUUGUGUUCUUGAAUAAAAAAAAUUUUUAAAGCAAUAAUAUUUAAAAUGUAUCCCUUGAAAAUAUUGUACAUGUAUAUAGUACAUCUAGGUCAUAUCCACCUCCAACUCCCUCCCUCUAGUUUUCCCUCUGCCCCCUAAACACAACUUAUGCCCAACUUCAUAUCUUUUCUUUAUAAAAGUUUCUGUUUCUAAAGGUAUAACUCAUUUAGCCUGAUUAAUGUUGCGUGUAGGCACAUGGGACUGAGGACAUCCACUGGGGCAUGGACAGCCUACGUGUGACUUUAAAUACAUCCCCAGACUUCUUUUAAUGUAGCUGCUAUUGAAUAAAUAAACCCAUGAAUUAACAAGAAAUGAGAAGUAUGGUACUAUGCGUUGUUUCGGCGCACAGUAAGGAAAAAAUGCUGAUCGGAGUUAUCCUGUUGCUCUUCAGAUGAGGAUAGGAAUCGCUACCAGCCCCAGUUAAUGAUUUGUGUCAGGAGCAGGCUUCUGUAGCGUGUUGGUAGAAAACUGAGUAGAUAGCACAUUAAUGGAUACCUACAGGACUGUGUCAGCAAACAACUAAACAACAGAUUAAUGAAAACCUGUUCUUUUCUUUCCCUUCUAUCCUCCGCCCUCUUCACUGCUGAACCACGGGUUGACACUGAGAUCAUACGUCAGACUCCUGAUGACCCACAAACUGCUGUGAGAAGCUACAAGCUCCUGAGUGUUUAAAAGUGGGGCCAUGGUGAGGAACAGAGACAAUGCUAUGCUGGGCGCUUCUUUUUAAGAAAUCCAACAACGGCUGGUAAGUACCAAUUGUAAUCCAACAGUGGUCAAUGAUAUUAUAGAUAUGAUACAUUGUAUUGACAGAUAGAUUGGAUUGAUCAAUAGGUUUUAUACUUAAAGUGCCUGGUAACAGAUACAUUCAAUGACAUAAGCAAACAUGUAGCUGAAUUUUAGGAAUAAUUAUAAGUCUUUCCCUCCCUUGAGACUUAUGGUUCACAGGCUAUUACUCUUAGGUUAGUUUUAGUAAAGAAAUGAAAAAUCAAUUAGUAAGCAACUGUAAAUUUUUAUUUAAUGAAAAAAGACAUCCCAAUGUUUUGGCCCAAUGAUUACAAUUAGUGAUAUAUCAGAGUUCACACAGGAUGUCUGACUAUGUGUGUCUGGAAGUGUGGGGUUUUCAGAAACAGGAAGUGUGGUCCACUUCCUGGGAUCAUUUGCAAAUGAUCCAGUGUACAAAAACCUAAUUCUUUUAGUUUGGGUGGAAUGUUUUGGUUUUCUGAUUCAUUGAUACAUUCAUCUAAACAUAAAUGGCCCAAAGUCAUGAAUGUAAUCAAAUCUUAUCUUGACUAUUAAAUCAUUAUAUUUCCACAAUGAUUUUUACCACAGUACAAAGAAAAGAACUCCACGGAUCCCCAAAAUAAACCUUUUCUAUUACCUUUCACUGGAAAUGAACCUAUUGUCAGAUAAUAGAAGUUCUCAGCAGACUUGUCUGGGGCCUCAGUAGCUUGUUGCUGAGUGCUAAUUUGUCAUAAGCAAAUCAAUAAACACAAGUGCUGUGAAUGAGGACGGAUGAGCCAAGUAAAGUGCAGCCUCGUUAAGAGCUUGUUUCCCAGAGCACGGCUUGUUAUUCUGUAUCUCUACCACUGCUGUCUGUGGAUAAAAAUAGAAGCCUGUGGCCCACGUCAGCAGCCAGCUUACACGCAUCUGCGAGCACGCUGUGUCUCUGUCCAAAGUACUUGUGACUUCAUAUGGUUUUGACCUUUAGCAAAUUAGAAAAAGUUACGUAAAUAUCCAAAUUUAAAAAAAGAAAAAGAUAAAGAAAGGAAACUGACCUAGCUAUGUACCAAGGGUGAGUACAUUGUAUGCCAUGUAUUAUGAAUUCAUUAUUAUGCUACAACAGAGUCCCAAUUAAAAAGAAAUCAAGGUUCCUUAUUCAUUUACAUAGCUGUCCGUUGUUUGGUUUUAAAUUGCCCCAUCGAUUCCACGUUUCUGCAUUAGCACAUCUGUGGCCCAGGUAUUUAAAGUUUAUAACAGACACAUACUAAGCACAUUGAGACAAGUAUCUAAAGCAAAUUAAACAGUGUCCGUGUAUAGUCAAUGGGAUGUUUAUGUUCUGCUUUUUACCAUCUAGUCAGUAGUUCCUGAAGGCAGUAUGAUAGAACUUGUUCCAGUAAGUUCCAAGGGUGACACACACCACUGCAAGCAGUUGCAGGGCCCCUGCCUUUACUUGGGGUGUUUGCUUAAGAUAUCCACUAAGUUGUUAGUGAAAGUCACUGUUGUAAUCAGAAAUAUGUCAUGGCUAAUGUGCUUCUCCUGGGUCAGUUGUGGGUUCCAGGCUGUGGGUUUUAUUACAAAAAAGAAGACAUUAAAUAAUUAUUCAUAGGAAAAAAGCCAAAUAUACUGUAUAGAAUAUAUUUUAUAGUAUCUUAGCACUCCUUUUUUUUUAAUAUUGUGUACAAUGAAUGCAUCUUGGAUGAGGCAGGGAAAAGCCAACACUCUUCCUCCGUGCAAGUUUUCACUUACAUUCACUGUGUUCAAAAUGUACGGCUGGCUAUACACAGAGCCAAUGUCCAGAAACCAAGUCUGCCUGAACAGCAGAUUGCAUUUGUGCCCCAUUAGCAUUUCUCAUCCCACCAACGCCUGCCUUUUCCCACUCACUUUAUUUCAUGUCUUGAGUGCGUGAGUGUUUGUGAUUGUGUGUAAAAAGUUGACUCACUCUCUAACUAUUUUGUAAGAGAUAAAUGUGUUUAAUAUGGAAUACAUUAUAGAAGAUAAAUACUUUGGGAAGGAAGAAUACAAAGAUAUACAUACUGGUCAGUGUCAGAGACACUAAUGCUGAGUUCUUCUGUCAAUGGGAAGAGGGACACAGAUGACACAGGGAAAGACAAGAGACCUAACUGUGUUAAUGACCAAGGCUUCCAUGACCUUCUGAGUUCCCUGCAAGCAGGGAUUUGCAGGUUUGUCUCUGUAGUCAUGAGUACACAGAUUUUGAUAAAUCUGCGGCUCAUCUUCUCAGUCUCAAUUGCAUCAUAGAUUUGAUUUUAUUAUUAAAAAUCAGCAAAUGAAAGACAACAGAAAUGAGACAGUGUAUAUAUAAUGAAAUGCAUGAGCGAUGGGCAGGAAUGGCAGCCCAAGGUGGUGUGAGAGUUAGUAUUAAUGUGUCCUAGGCCCCUGGAUGCCCACUAAGCAUGCAGUGGGGUUGUUUAGACUGCCUUUUGGGCUAUGGGUAAGUGGGUUGAGAAAUGACGUGGGGUAGUCAGGGUUCUUACUUUGGGUCCAUGAAGAGUUCAACUAUUCAUAUGCUUAAGAAAAUCUACACAACAAACCAAAACCUAACAAACAAACAAAAAAACAACCCACCCCCCCAAAAAUAUAUCUCAAAGUAAUAAAUACUAAAAUGACUUAAGAAAAUGGCAUUUGAAAGGCAGGUGUCCAAGGAAUGACUCUCAAUAGGGGGUUGGCUUUGUUUGUUCGUUUGUUUGUUUGUUUGAAUUGUUGUUUCUUCCAGAGAGGGUUUCACUGUAUAGCUCUGGUAAGCCUGGAACUCACUCCGUAUGCAGACAAAGCUGCUCUUGACCUAAUAGAGAUCCCCCUAUACUAGAGGACCUCUGCCUCCUGGGUUUUGUGGUUAAGUGCCAGGACACUUGGUCUCUCAAUAUUUUAUUAGCAUCAUUUUACAUGUGCUUCAGAAUAAAUACGCCGAGCUAACUGAAGCAAGGCCAUGAAAUCAAGUGCUUGGGAAGAGAGAGAUGAAAAUCAGUAAUAAGGCAAUAUUUUCCAGUGUUUAGUGGCAGGUGUUUAUUGUUUACUAGUUAGAAAAGUAACAGAUGAAUGUAGACAGGGGAGGGGAAGGGUUCAAAUCCUGACCCAGGACAGUGGCUAUGACUGAAUUUCCAUACCAUAACUAAUGAAUAGUUCAUGACAGAAACUCUGGUUUAGUUCAGAGACAGAGACUGGUUGCAUUAGCUUUGCUGGGACUGAUCCUGUGGAAACAUCAGCUAUCACAAAUGUCAUGUUCUUUGUAGUUUUGUGCUUCAUGAAUUUCGAUUGUUAUUACAAAAAGAAAUCAAUGGCCACUUUUACACUCUAAUUAUGUAAAGAAACCCUAUGAAGUUUGUCCAAAUUUUAAAAACAUGAGGGGUGGUAAGAAAUAUUAUUACUGUAAUUUGCAAACACUGAAGUCCCUGUGUCAGUGGUUCUAGGGAGCUGUCUCAUUGUCCAAGGUUGCACAGAUGGAGAAAUCCUAACCAGUACUGUUCUCCUGAAUCAGUGAUUUGGACUGUGGAGGUACAGGUGGUCAUUGUUGUUGCAAGAAGAGAAAUACUGUGGGUUUACAAAUCAUUUUCUCUUGUUAUGACUUGGUAUUAAAUCUCAGAUAGUUCUUUUGCUUAAGAGAGAAUAUAUGGGUUAUAAAACAUUGAUCAAUGUGUGAAAUGAAGGUUGGAGGAAACAGGAAGAUCUCCUACUCUGCACCAACUCUGGGUCCAUGCUCACCCAUGGCUGCCUAUGGUGCCUGUAUAUCUGAAACUGAGGUCACAAGGAGAAACUUAAUCCAUUUCUUUCACUUUGAAGUGUUUCUAUAGACAGAAUUUUAUAACAUGGAUUAUUUUAUGGUUACAUAUUUUUAUUUUAUUCUCAUUUCACCAUAGGAUGAAUGGGGAAAAAUCAAUUAAAUAAAAUCAGUGAGGUAGGGGUUGGGGAUUUAGCUCAGUGGUAGAGCGCUUGCCUAGGAAGCGCAAGGCCCUGGGUUCGGUUCCCAGCUCCGAAAAAAAGAACCAAAAAAAAAAAAAAAAUCAGUGAGGUUACAUCAAGUCCAUAGUGUUCAUGGAAAUUUUACUAAUAUAUACUGAAGAUGGGCCUCGUCCAAAAGGAAGUCAAAGGAAUGUACAUUUGACCACAUGGUAUGGCUCCAUACUCAAGAAUAGCCAUACUGUGUGAGUGAAGGAUCCUCCAUGGUCAGAAUUCUGCACCAUGCUAAGGAGAGUGAUUCCAAUGUGAACUGAAGACUUCUUGUCUUGGCUUGGGUGUCUUGAAGUAUCAUUGACCAAGUGUCUGUAGAGUAUCUAAUGAUGGCCAACUGAAUACCUAUGGGACAAAUAGGCACUGCAUGAAACUUUUCAUUCUUAAUAAAAAUAUGGAAACCAUCAUGAAUUAAUGCAAUGACAGGUCAAUGUUAAAGAGUCCAUGAACAAAUUAACAAUGAUAGCUAUAAUAAUAACAGCCCUCCCCUUUGGGAGGGGUAUGGAUCAUGAGUCUUAUAAUUAUGCUUCAUUGAUCAAUAUGACAAGUAGAAAUGUUAUAGAAAGGAGUACUCAAUCCUGGACCAUUGGUGAUCAAUGUUGCCAUAUGAGACAGGCAGUGCACUCUGGGCCCAGCUUCGUGCCCAGUUUUCUAUGUUUGAAAUAAUUCUGUCAGUAAGAUGGGAUGUAUUUGUUUUUAGUUUGCAUGUUCAUUUAUUUCCGUCCUGUUAGUUUGAAAGCAUUGAUCUCUGGGUAGGAAUAUCUUUUGUAUUUUCAUGUCUUUUUUGGCUAGAGAUGAGGUAGACAGUAUAAUUAAUAGAUAAUAGUCAAUGUCUGGGUCAAGGAAAAGAGCAACAAAGGGCCUCGAGAUAAUGACUUCUUACAUGGCCAACCAAAGGAAGGAUGACAACAAAACUAAAAUAGAUUAGCCUAUCUUUUAAUGAGCUGCCUUGCUUUGUUUUGACGUCCUGGGCCUGGAUACUCUGAGCCAGGGGAUGCAUCUUUCCAUGGGCUUCAGCUCCGUGGUUACGUGAAUGUGUCAGAAAUAUGAAAUGCUUCCGAAUAAUAACCACUGUGACUGUUUUGACUUUCCAACAGCAUUAAAGUUAGCUAAAGAAACAGAAAUGUGCCUAUGGUAAACAUUAGACUUGAAUUAUAUAUUGCACUGAGUCCUUUGUAUGAAUCCCUGAGGUUGGUUUAUUCAAUGCAUCUGGAAGCAAUUACAUAGGAACAUCCUAGUGGCUGUUCAAGAGUCUACUUUUUAUUACAUUUACAUAUUUUUUAAUAUAUGAAAUAAUCAACAAACUAAUGUGCAGUAGAGAAAGAAGACCUUUCUGGUUGUCACCUUACUUAGUAUACCACACUGAAUCCACCUAGCUCUGACGCAGUAUCCAUGGAUCCACCUUGACCAUCUGUGCCUCCCUCCUUCCCACCUUGCCUGGAAGCCACCACUGAACUCUCAUCUUGCCCGAGAUCAGUUUCAAUGUAAAUAGAUCACUUGCCCUUUCUGUGCCUAAAUUAUUUCUCUUAAUUCCAUUCAUCCCAUCUAUGGUGCCAUUUUUUUAAAACACUAGUUUAUGUCCAAAUAGAAUCUGACAAGUGCUUAGUAAUUUACUUGACCAUGCACUGGUGAUGAGAUUCACGCUCACACACACUUGGGUAGCACUAAUUUUAGACUCCAAAUACUGUUUUAACCGAACAGAAACCAUAAAUUUGAGAGAGACACGAGGGUCAUCCCAGAAUGAGUAGAGUAUUAGUUAUGAACAAAAUACACUGUAUACAUGUACGAAAUUCUUUUAGAAUAUAUAAAAUAUUUAAAAGCCAUAAUUAUAGAAGAUUGAAGAAAAAUAGGUAUCAGAAAGAGAAGCAAUGCUUUGAUUUAGAAUGCAAAGUGGACUCGGGCCCCUUUGGUAGCCAGUGAGGUCAGAUGUGUCAAGCAUCAUCCUGAGCUUAUAAAUCAUGUUUAUUGAUGUGCUUUAAUUAAUAGCUUAGAAUAAAAAUAGACAUGCUGUAAUUAAAAAGGCAAACAUGAACCAUUGAUGCUGGCUGCUGUCAAUUUGAAUAAAAUAUGCCUGGACUCUGGAGUUGAAUGCCAAAGUAAUACAGUUCAUUGCCCCCAUGAGACAGUCUUUCAGAAAGAUUUGGCAAUAUCCUAGGAUCUGGGUCCUGUCCUUAGUGUCAAAAUUAGAUGAAAAAGGAUACCAGUCAUUCAAUUGAUGAAAUAUUGUCCAUUGACAAGAAUACAUAGACAGGAACAUUAUAAUAUGUUAGGAAAAGAGGUCCAAGUUCACCUGUCUGACGUCAUCACUGCCUAUUUUGUGGCUAAAGAUGGUAUGGACUUUCUAUGGGAAGGUGCCAGUGUUCUCAAUAUAUAGAAAAUUUCAAAUUCUCUUUUCUGCAAACUGAAAAACCAAACCCAUAUCCUGUUAAGUUAAUGAAUGUAGAGAUGAGUCUCUUCAGUCAGUGGUUCUGUGGGUUGCAACCCCUGUGAGGAGGGAUCAAAUGACCUUUUCACAGGGGUUGCUUAUCAGAUGUUUAAAUUACAGUUCAUAUAAGAUUCGAAAUAGCAACAAGAUAAUCUUUCGGUUGUGGGGGAUCACGAGAACAUGAGAAAAGUGGAGAACCACUGCUCUAAGCUAAAGAUAAAAUUAAAGACCAGUGGGUAGAGUGUCUCAAUGUUUUCCUACAACAUAUUUUAAAGCAUGUUUUCUAUCUCCUUCUGUUCCCCAUGGUCCUGUGUAUGUUGAUGGAGUUCUCCAUGGUAGAGUUCUCUAUGGUCUGUUUCUGUUGGGAGCCUGGAGGAUGAUGUAAGUAAUAUUUCUAAUUCCUACUUUGGUUUGGGUGGUCAAUUUAGGGAGAAUACGUUGUAUUUUUUAAUUUUUAUGGUGUAAUCACGUGAGGAAAACUGAAGCCACCUUUACAUUUUUAGAUGAAAAUGAGUAAGUAUACUGAUUACUGUUGUGUAUGAAGAGCUAAGGAUCAUUAACUGAAGACAUCUAUUGACCCAGACAUCAUUCUGGAUUACAACCAGCCGUGUUCUUAUUGGGCUUUUCCAAUCAUAGGCUUUUAGAAACAUUAUUAGUUACUCAAUAGAUUGGUUAACACACAGUAUAGAAAUAAGUGAAGGGGUGUCAGGGGAUGAAUUCUGACUGAAUGUCAUGUGUUUAUAACUCUGAGGUCUAACGGGAUGGAUAUGUUAAGAAGCAAGGGUUGGAGGGGGUGAGUGUAGUUUUUCGUCCCCUGCUCUGAUCUGUACUCUUCAGAAUGGAUGAUCUAGAGAGGGUGGGUUCUUCUCUGGUCCUCUCCUUGGUGCUCACAUCCCUUCUCUUCAUUGUGAGCGAGAGUUAAGUUUGUUUGCUCAGUUCUACACAGGAUGAUUGAAACACUUACUGAUUUUUCCAUUCAUGAAGAAAUGCGGACUGUAACCAAAAGAUGUGGUGGUUGACAGGUUUUAUUUGUAGACAAAUGUUAGGGACUUUCCUACAUUCUUCCAUUUUGUGGCUUAUAUAUUUUCCAUGUUGACGAAACAAUCCACAAGGGUAAAAUGUAUUAGUGAAUAGAGAUCCAUCCGGCAUCUGAUGCCUCCUAAUGGCUGUGGCAUGCGAGGUACACAUUUGAACAUCAUAUGUCUAGAACUCUGAGGUCUCACACAAAUGGACAGGGCCUUAUUUAAAUGUGGGCCCUGUGUAUCCAUUAUAAGGGUUUCAUUUAAUAUCUUUGGGUUCAUUAGUUUAAAAUAUUAUUAUAAAAGAUUCAAGGCAGUUUGAAGAAACAAAUGUAUGUGUAGAGAUGACAAAGGUAAAAAAAAUAUCUCAUCAUUAAAAUAGCUAGCUAGGAUAUAAGUAUUAGGACCUUUUAAAUAUUAUUUAUUUAUUUAUUUUUUAUUUAUAUGAGUACACUGUAGCUGUCUUCAGACACACACCAGAGGAGUGCAUCAGAUCCCAUUACAAAUGUUGUGAGCCACCAUGUGGUUGCUGGGAAUUGAACUCAGGACCUCUGGAAGAGCAGUUAAUACUCUUAACUGCUGAGCCCUCUCUCCAGCCGGGGUUGUUUUUAUCUAAUGAGGUCUCCCUAUUUGGUCCAGGCUGUUUUCAAAUUCUCAAACUUAUUGUGUAAGACAGUCAAGUGCUGGAAUUGUGUUCAUCAGUCAUCAAGCCUGUUACAUCAGAAAUUAUUCUGGACUAAGGAUGAUGCAGGCAAGUCCUUCUCAAUCAUUAAAAUAUAUCAAUUAUAAAUUUGAAGCUCGUUAAGAAGAAAAUGAAUAGAUAGCUUUGCAGUGAAUCUGUAGAAGGGGAUGGUAAAGUGUCAUAGUAAUAUGAGUUAAUAGAGAGACAAUGUCCAACUUCUGCUUUGUACUCCUCAGACGGAGGCCCUGGACUGAGCAGGAAGCUCCCUUCACUGAUACUCCCUGCCAUGCCGUGUGUGCACUAUAACAGCCAACAAUCUUAUUUUCCUUGUUUAAUUGAUUAAAGGUGCCCAUAGUGUUGAUUGUGUUUUUAAAAUCAUAAACUGAUGGCUUUAACAGUGGAGUGGGGGUGGGGAGCAGAAGAAACAUGAAGCAACUAGAAAGUAGUUUUCCCCUCACUCUGCCUGAGCACAAACAGAAAUGAUUUUGAACCAAGUGGUGCCUGCGGGUGUCUCGCUACAUGCUUACUUUGUGUGAGUUUCCAGUUCCCUCAUCAUAUCCGUUCCCUCAUCAUAAUUUCCUCAUUAUCCUGCAAACCCACUGUCCUUUUCCCAAGCCCUUCAAGAUAUUAAGCAACUGUCACCUAGAGUUGCUCCACAUCACAUAAGGCCAUCGAACUGUAACUUAGCGACUUUUCUUCAUUUCUCUCUUCUCACUUUACCAUCUGGUAACUAUCACUCCACUGUCAACUCUCUGCAGAUGAACUCUUUCGUGUCCCACAUGAGUGAGACCAUAUUGUGUUUGUCUUUUUGUGCUUGGCCUAUUUCCUUCGAUAUGAUCAUCUCCAGUGCCAUCCAAUCACUAAAAAUUAUAGAAUGCCAUUCUCCUUUACGGCUGAAAGAACCUAACAUGUUUCUUAUACCUAAAGCAGUUGUUCUUAACCUUCCUGAUGCUGCAGUUCUUUUAUGCAGUUUCUUGUGUUGUGGUGAACUCCCUCCCAUAAAAUUAUUUUCAUUGCUACUCCACAACUGUAAUUUUGCUACGGUGAUUAAUCAUAAUGUAAAUAUCUCCAUUUUCUGACAGUGUUAGAUGGCCCCCGUGAGCAAGUUAUUUGACCCCCAAAGGGGUCACAGCAUACAGAGUGAGAGCCACUGAACUGAUCUAGACUAAAUAAGGAGCCCAAGAUUCAAUACCCAAAACCCAAAGCAGUAAAUCACGUUCAUUAGACAUAAGUAUGCACGCCUCAAAAAAAAAAAGUAUACAGAUAGCCAAGUAGUCUAUGAAAGAAUGAACUGUGUGAUCAAUCGCCAGAAAAGUGAAAACCCAAUUAAAGCAAGAAAACCCCUCACUCCAGUAAGAAAGACUGCUAUCAAGAAAGACUGUUGGUAGCAAUGACUGGCAAUGGGGGAGAAAUCAGGUUUCCUUUGAACGUUGUUGAUGGGAAUAUACAUUAAUUGAAUGUUAUAGAAAUAGCAUUGAGGGUUCUCAAACAAAAGCCCUCAACAAACAGAGUUUCUAAUAACCCAACCAACCCUCUAAUAUGUAAAGAAAAUUGUGGUGCCUUUGUCUCAAAUAUAUAUAUAUAUAGUAUAUACAUAUAUAUAUUAUAUAUAAUAUAUAUAUAUAUAUCUCCUUAUACCCUUCCAUGUUCUCUGCAGUGCUAUCUAAAAGGGCUAAGUUGGGACAGACUGAGUAGCCUCUGGUUGAUGUGUGGAUGAGAGAAUGUGGUAGAUACAUGCUUGGGACACUACUACUCAUCCAAAAAGAAGUUAACUGUAGCCUCAUGAGAGAGUGAACUCAGUUGUUGUGUUUCCUGAUUGAUCACUGCCACACUGAGGCCAAUUAACAAACGAUAAAGUCUCAAGAAAAUAAGAUUCUACAGACAGAUGUUAACCUGUCAAGCAUCACGUUCUUAGAGUUUUGUAAACUGAACUAUUUUAUUGAUUGACUCUAAUUAGUAACAUAGAUUAAAGUAAAUUCGAGUUUGAAAACAAGACGCUAAAACAUGGACUGGGGGUGAUGGCAAUUGAGAGUGAGUCUCAUUCACUGCUUGAAACAUCUGAACUCUAAUAGCCCAAGAAAUUCAUGAUAGUUCAUUUUCUUGGAGGAAGACAUCCCCGAGACCCACAGUUCUCAACAUGUGGGUCACAGACCUUUGACCAUUACAUAGGGGUCACAUAUCAGAUAUUUACACUAUGAUUCAUAAUAGUAGCAAAAUUAUAGUGGUGAAGUUGUGACAAAAUAAUUUAUGGUUGAGGGUCACCACAACAUAAUGAGCUGUAUUAAAGUGUCACAGCAUUGGGCAAGCUGAGAGCCGCUGUGCUAGACAUAUUUAGGAAUCCCUAAGGACUUUGAGCUUGGUACCUGUGUUGAUAUAUGUUAAUUUUGUCAUUAGAAUUAAGAAGUGGAACUAUAAUUCAAACAGCAACUGAUGUAUUAAUCAAAUUCAAACAUAUGCAGUGUGUUGGGGGCACUUUGAUAUGCAAACAGUGAGGCACAAUGGGCAACGGUCAUAACUCCCACACUUUCAUCCUCAGCUAGUAUAGACAGCAGGUGGUGGAGCCUUUCUCAGCAGCUGGGUGUGGGGCUAUGUUAAAUUGGUUUCUAAUUUAAAUUGUUCCCAUAUCUUUUGUUACAGUAAGAGCUUGCACUGUUAAAUGAAUGAGUAAAUAAGUCAGCUGAGAAAGCAAAGCUAAAAACCAAAGGUCUGUGGGAAGGCUCUCCCUGCUUUUCAUCUUCUUUAUGUGCAUCUGCCCUGUUCUGUGCUCUUCCCAGUGCUCUCCCACCGGAGCCUGGGAUGGAAUUCUCUGUGGUUGGGGCUCAGUGGUCGGGGCUCAAUGGUGUGUCUCUCACUGGAACCUGUAAAUCAGGGUAAGUAAUAGGCACAGAUCUUGUUUUGGUUUCCUUGGACAAUUUCCUUUCUGUUUUAGACAUAGGCAGACGUAGAAGUUCUAGUGCACUCAUCUUGGGACUAUGAUGAAUAUUUUAACUGAGUAAUUGGUAUAAUGAAAAGCCAAGCUCAGUCAAUUAAAGGCAGUGGGGGUUCUAUCCCCAAAUACUGUAUUCUUGUUAUCUGUAUCUAUCUAUCUAUCUAUCUAUCUAUCUAUCUAUCUAUCUAUCUAUCUACAUAGAUAGGUAUAACAAUACUAUAAUUAUAGAUAGAUACACUAUAUAAGACAAGUAAUUUAGCUAGCUAGAUGAUAGAUAGGUAGAUAGGUAGAUAGGUAGAUAGGUAGAUAGAUAGAUAGAUAGAUAGAUAGAUAGAUAGAUAGAUAGAUAGAUAGAAUCAUUGCCUUCCACAGCAUUACUAGUAGGUUAAUGUAAAUAAGAGUGAAGAGAUAUUGAGCUAUCCCAGGAUAAGUGAUCAUAACUGUCAGUGUAUGAGACUUAAAUAAUGAUUAACAUGUAUCUCAAACCCUGAGGCUCAAUAAAAGAUAAAUAUGUAAGCAUGAACCUCUGGAACAGGGCUCAUUUCUUAUUCUCUGCUUUGUUCUCUACCAGAAUUGCUACUCCUAGGUAGUAGGGUUUCUGCGUAUUUCACCCAUUCAUUCAUAUAUCUCUUGAUCUUGGGACAAAUAUAAAUAGUAAUUAAUUUUUUUACGGUUCUGAUGGCACUGAAGAUUAUCCUUUGCAUUAGCGAAUAGUGUAAAACCUAACCACAUGGUAUAUUUACAGUUCAUAUGACGUAGCAUAUAAAGUCACGUGUGUGACCUUGCCAAAUUUAAUGUCAAUUUGUUGUUGGAAGCACUAGAGCAAUUGUAUGAUAGUAUAUGGCAUUGAGGAAAGUCAUUGAAUAAUUCAGUUCUAGCAGGAAAAAAAACAGAGAUGUGCAUUAGUGGUCCUUGUAGGUGUAUGUCACAGCUAUACACAUGAUGGCAUUCUUUGAGUAGAGGCUCUUUAGAAAACAUGUUAGGGAUCUACGAUGUUAAUGAUGACUGUAGUUGACAUGGACUCGUGAUAUCUUAUUUAGAGCAGUGAUAAGCACACACAUAAGUCAAUGAUCCUUAUUUGAUUAGAUGUAUUCUGCAAAUAGACUACUCUAUGGUAAUACGGGUGCUUCUUUAAUGGUGGUCACGAAUGUCAAGAAAAGCUUUGGCUAAAACAAACAGGUUACCUACACCGGUAUUAUUACUAUACCUCAUAUGCCUGUGUUGAACUUGCAUUCCCAGUUAAAUAUUAAUUAAGGCAAGACUCGGAAAUCUUAUGUUGCUCUAGUAUAAAACAAUCAAAUCAGUAGAAAUAAGUAAUGUGGACUCUCCCUGGAAUGGUUGAUGACAGCUGUCUUACAUGUACAUGUCAGAUGACAGGAGCUGGUGUCUGAAAGCUGAGAGCGUUGAUGUGGUAUAGAUAGUUUGCAUUAUUUAGCAGAGAGAAGUAAGGGGCAGAGAGAUGGCUAAGCAGAGAAAGCCUAAUUACCCUAGUUGGAGACUUAGAACCACAGAUUGGAAGGAAGAAUAGGGUCCCCUAAAGUUCUCCUAUUUUUUCCACUGCUCUUUCCCUCAACUCAGAGAAAUAAGCAUCAUAAAAAUGAAUGUGAAAUAUGAUUGCAUUAGGCCAAAUGUGACCAAUGAAACAAAUUAAAUUAUCACAAACUAGACGAUUGAAUUGGCCAUGCCCGUAAAACCAUGAUUCAUCACUGAAGGAGAAUUUGCAUGAGCUUUUUUCUCUGUCUGAGGGGCGCUCCCGGCUUGUUUCAGUGUUUGAGAAACACAGUAGGGAUUUCCACUGUUAUCAGUGAAUACGUGAGUCUGAACAGCCAGUAAGGAGAAAAGUGAAGGCAGGAGAGUAGAGAUACACCCACUGGAUUGGGAACACAGAGGCUGUAAGUCAAAGAGGACACAUGCCCCUGUUCAUCUAGCAGCAGGACUGCACCCCAUUGUCACCUCUCUCGUCUUCUAAUUCCUUGAAUAUCAAUCAAAGAGUAAAUAAAUAUAUAAAAGAUGGAGGCGUCCUCCCAGGGAAAUAAUCAAAUGCGAAUCUUUUAAUUUUGUGUGAACUUGGGAGAGUGUGAAUUAUAGAUAAUGUCUAUAUUCUUGGUUAGGGUGAAUUAGUUCAUGUUGUAAAACAUGAUUGUUAAAAGCAAAUGCUUUCAAAAUUGAAGAUGGAAUCUAUGAUUCAUUAACUAUACAUGGAGUUUGGAGGGUAAUUAACAUACAUUUUAAUAUAUUGCUGGUCUAUGAGUUCACCACAUGAAUAAUUAAAGAUUGGAUGUAGAUGACUGAGAGAAGUGCCAAAAAGAAGGAGAUGGUACAAUUAUACGAUAUCAUUUCAGUGCUGAUUGGUGACUACGAGUGAACAGAAGUUGGAGGUCAAGGACACUGAGGACUUUACUGCCAAGUUAGAGAUAAGCACGACGCAUACAGCCUAAACCUUGUGAAUCUUUGGUUCGUGGACUACAUAAAGUUAUCAAGGAAGAUUGAGAGAUAAAAAUGGACUGGACAUGUGGUACAAGUGUGCUCAAAUCCAGAACCCACCUAAAUCUUCACUAUGACAACCCUGAGACUUGCUGACAUAGAGGCGACAUCACGAUCUUCCUUGGCCACCAGCUUAUAGAUGACCCUGCUGAUGGCUGACGUUGCAGUGAUGGACAGAUCCUGGGAUGCCAUGGCAACCGUCCCGAGCCCAUGGGGACUUGACAGCUCCAGCUCUCAUCCUCCCGUGGGCACCUGCUGAUAGAAAAGCUGACCCAACAGAUGGUACCAGCAUGCUGAGAUCUGGAAUCAACCUUGCUUCCUUGCUGUGACCACCCCAAGCUCUGCUGACUGAGAGGACAUCUUAAUCUUCCUCGGUCCUGAGGUUAUAAAUGACCCUGCUGAUGGCUGAUGUUGCAGUGAUGGACAGAUCCUGGGAUGCCAUGGCAACCGUCCAGAGCCCAUGGGGACUUGACAGCUCCAGCUCGCAUCCUCCUGUGUGCGCCUGCUUAUAGAAAAGCUGACCCAACAGAUGGUACCAUCAUCCUCAGAUCUGGAAUCAACCUUGCUUCCUUGCUGUGACAACCCCGAGCUCUGCUGACAGAGAGGACAUCUUAAUCUUCCUCGGUCCAGAGUUUAUAAAAUAUGACACUGUGAUGGCCAAGGUUGUAGUGAUGGACAGAUCCUGGGAUGCCAUGGCAACCGUCCAGAGCCCAUGGGGACUUGACAGCUCCAGCUCUCAUCCUCCUGUGGGCACCUGCUGAUAGAAAAGCUGACCCAACAGAUGGUACCAGCAUCCUCAGAUCUGGAAUCAACCUUGCUUCCUUGCUGUGACAACCCCGAGCUCUGCUGACAGAGAGGACAUCUUAAUCUUCCUCGGUCCCGAGUUUAUAUAAGAAAACCCUGUGAUGGCCAAGGUUGUAGUGAUGAACAGAUCCUGGGAUGCCAUGGCAACCGUCCAGAGCCCAUGGUGACUUGACAGCUCCAGCUCUCAUCCUCCUGUGGGCACCUGCUGAUAGAAAAGCUGACCCAACAGAUGGUACCAGCAUCCUCAGAUCUGGAAUCAACCUUGCUUCCUUGCUGUGACAACCCCGAGCUCUGCUGACAGAGAGGACAUCUUAAUCUUCCUCGGUCCCGAGUUUAUAAAAUAUGACACUGUGAUGGCCAAGGUUGCAGUGAUGGGAUGCCAUGGCAACCGUCCCGAGCCCAUGGGGACUUGACAUCUCCAGCUCUCAUCCUCCUGUGUGCGCCUGCUUAUAGAAAAGCUGACCCAACAGAUGGUACCAGCAUGCUGAGAUCUGGAAUCAACCUUGCUUCCUUGCUGUGACCACCCCAAGCUCUGCUGACUGAGAGGACAUCUUAAUCUUCCUUGCUCCUGAGGUUAUAAAUGACCCUGCUGAUGGCUGACGUUGCAGUGAUGGACAGAUCCUGGGAUGCCAUGGCAACCGUCCAGACCCCAUGGGGACUUGACAGCUCCAGCUCGCAUCCUCCUGUGUGCGCCUGCUAAUAGAAAAGCUGACCCAACAGAUGGUACCAGCAUGCUGAGAUCUGGAAUCAACCUUGCUUCCUUGCUGUGACAACCCCGAGCUCUGCUAACAGAGAGGACAUCUUAAUCUUCCUCGGUCCCGAGUUUACAAAAGACCCUGUGAUGGCCCAGUUUGCAGUGAUGUACAGAUCCUGGGAUGCCAGGGCAACAGUUCCAAGCCCAUGGUGACUUGACACCUCCAGCUCUCAUCCUCCUGUGGGCACCUGCUGAUAGGUAUGGAGGGUCCAAUCACAACAUGGGGGUUCAGCAGAGUAUAGACAGAAAGAGUUAAAUUAGUGCUAUUUUGAGGACCAAGCAGUGUGAUGCCACACUUGCCAAGCAAUAAGCCAAUCCUGGGAGAGAGGAACCCAGCCUUCCCAUGCUAGCCUCUGUAGUAUGAAUAGGCACAGCAGGAUCACUCUUGCUCUCUACACUCCUGAAUCUGAUCAGUUUUCCUUAACAAGGAAACACGGCUGGCAGACAGACAAAGUUGGGUUAAAGUAGAUAGAACCACAAACUUGCAUCGGGAGUGACUCACAGCUUGGAAAUUGCAAGGAACAUAUUGAGAGAUGGUUGUACUGACAUUUGACCCCAUGCAUGAUGCAGUGGCAUAGACUGGGCCCACCUCUUUUUCCCUUCAAAUAACAAGAAAUUAGUCUUUUCUGGGAAGAAAAGGUACAGGUGCAGCCCAGGCGAAGUCUGUGAUUCUAAGUUCUCCAACUGUGGAGAGCAUGGAGUGGUGAUUCACAGUCUCAGCAGUUUCUCUCUCUUCAUUGCCCUUUAUUCUUCAGAAAGGCUGACCUGGUUGAUGCAGAACCACCAUGGCCUCCCUGCCUGUCCCAAAUUAGCAUUCUGUCUUGUGUGGAGCCUGGUUCAAGGUCUUAACUUUUAAUUGUCAGUUGUUGUAAGAAUUUACAUGUUUGUUGUAAAAUUUACAUAUUUGUUGUAAAAUUCACAUGUUCAUCAAUUGUGAAACCAAAUCAGUGAAGUGUAAUUCGGUACGUGGAUUGCCAUUGAUCAGAUUCAGUGUAACAUUUACACUAAGUUCAUUCUAAAGGCUCAGUACACCCAGUUCCAUGGCAUGAAAGUCUGCUUAUGAGUCUCGUGAGUCGACGGAAUUUUUGGUCUGAUAAUAGGACUUUUCAUCAUGUCUUUCCUUUUUUUUCUGCUUCUCGUUUUCCCAUAAAGCUGAUCGGUUUAUGUUUGCAGACAUUUUAUGUUAUAGAUACCUCCUCUGAUGUCCCUUCAACACCACUACAACUAGUAUUCACUUUAGUGUCAUUUUGUGCAGGGCAUGGUAAAACCACGUAGUAAUAUGGCAGAGUUCUUCAUAUGUGGCGUGUGUAAGAUUAAUAAUAUAGCAUUAGUUUUAACUUCAGAAUGCAAAACCAAAUGCUUUCACGUAGGUUUUCAUUUUUUUUCUAUUUCAUAUUAAAUGUAUCAUUUCCAUUUUAGGUUAGUUUUUUUCCCCUGGUACAUUUAUGUUAUUUAUGAUAAUAAUCAUGUUUAGCAUAUCACUACCUAUGCAUAUCAUAUUUCGUAUUAAUAUUAUCAUUCCUAUUAAUAACCACUAAGUUCUUCUAAAUGUUAAGCCACACUCAAAUGUUCCCAUACCCGACUUAGACUGUCCAUGAUAACGUUGAGAAAGUGCAACAUGUAUUCAGGGCCAUGAGUCAUUCAUGAUUCUUUCACAGCACACAUUCUGCAAAUAGUUAGUGCUCAUCAAUCAGUAAAGUAGCAACGUCAUAUGAGUCAGCGCUUCCGCCUGGGGGAAGGGGUAAGGAAAAUAUGGUGACGUGAGUUCUUACCACCCUGUCCUGAGUCAGAUCCAUAUAGAACAGUUCCUUACCAUUUCUUCUUUUACUAAUGAUAAUGCAAACAUUACAUCUUAUAGCUGAUGUUUAUGUUCUGGAUAGUAAAGAAUUCCUCAUUAUUUAGUGAAGAAUUAGAUAUAUCACUGUGUAAGUCAAAAUUGAAAACCAUUGCUCUUUUAUCUGCUUUUAAAAGUCAUUUUUUCAACUUCUUGUUUGUGUUUUGUCUGUUGCUCCCCACACAGGGUCUGGAGCUGGUUUCAGAAUUCCCUGUGUUUAAGGACCGCAUCAAGAAUGUGUGCUCCAGGGGUGAUUUCUGCAUUCUUCAUGGUCACCAGUGGAACGUUUGCAUCUCUGCGUUGAGCUUGGGGCAGUAUGGACCGUGUGAUUAGAAGAUCGUCCAAGGGUCAAGGGCUCCAUUUGCACCCUGUCGAGGAGGCGAGGAAGACGAGUAAUGGACUUUCCCAAGAAAUCUAUUCAUCUUCAAUGGCUUCCACCCCAUCAGUUGCUUGUGAUGAUGUGCGAUCUGCCCAAACUUCUUCUCAUAGUUUUGAUGGUUUGUAGAAGCUCCUCACUGACUCAAUGCCCUCCAUGGCUAGGAGCUCUGCUGACAUUGUGGAAGCUGCUGGGCAGACCACUGUGAGUAAUGGCUUGAACUAUUUUUUCAGGUUUGGCGGUUUGCUUAGUGGAACUAAAUGUGUGACUGCGAAAUACAACAUGGCAUUAAGAAUGGGUGCUCCAUACCAAUGAGAGCCACAAACACGAAUGGAAGUUGUCAAAUUAUUUAUGAAACUCUGAGGAUGAUUAAUUAAGAUCAGAACAAUUCCCCAGAGAUUAGGAGUGAGGUUUUAUAGAAUUGUUGGAAUAAUAGGUGCUCAAAUUAUUAUUAGCUGAUUAUUGAACUAAUUAUCAGACAAUAGAAGAGGAGUGAUUGGAAAAAGAAAGAAACAGCCAUGAUUGAAAAUGAUCACUGUGAAACAUGAGUCACAUGGCUGACUACAUGUCUGGAACUUUGAGAACUACUGAAGAAGGAAUAUAAUCCAUUCUUUUCAUUUCAAGUGUUCUUGUAGAAAGACUACAGGACCAUAUAAUAGGUUCAUUUUCCAGUGUUCUUAUAAAUUCCAUUCCAUUUUCAUAAUUGUAUCAAUACAAGAAUGUAGCAAUCAGUCUUACAAAUAAGUGGAGAGGAAAUGGGUAAAGCAUUAUCCAAUUCUCCAAAAUAUGAAGAGAGCCAAGAAAUAGAUUAGUGUGCACAGAAUACUGUGCCACCUUAAAAAGGGGUUUUUUUUUGCCCAUGAUGACAUUUAUAAUGUAAAUUACAAUGUCUUCAUUCUGAGGAUGUUUGAAAAUUCCAUCUCUUUAAGCAAUCAGAACAUUAAAUAUACUCCAAAAAUUAGCUGGCCUAGUGGCCAGUGGUAGGUGCGCAGUGUAAGCCAUUACAGGGAGAGCCUUGAUUUUGUCAUCUUCUCUGUUCAGUAGCCCAUAGAAUGGACACACUGUGUGACGGGAGCAUCCUGCAUGAUUGUGGCCUCUUUCUGCUGCUCUGAUUCUGAAUCUGAAUUGUUUUGCUGAAGUUAAAAAAAAAAGAUUCAAAUUUUGGUAUUGAAUGAUUUACUUAAGAAUACUCAGUGCCUUUUGCAGAAAGGUAUAUUAGUGCCUGCCUUUAGUACCAGCCUGUUAUAGGUAGAGGCCUCUAGAGGCAGAUCUCUAAGUUCAAGGCCAGUCUGAGCUCCAAAACAAAUUCCAGGACAGAUAGAGCUACACAGAGACACCCUGUCUCGAAAAACAAAAGUUGAAACAAACAAACAGUAUUCAAUACAUCAUUUAAAAGUACAUAGUUAGUGGCAACCAACUGUAUCUCGUUGAUUGAUCAUGGAUGCAUAUUAAGUCUUUUAUUGAUUAUACAGUUAUGAAAACCUGAAUCAAUUACUCUCAGUAAAAGAAUGCUCUCAAUAUAAAUUAGGAAUAUCAAGUGUGUUCUUGGCAUUUCAUAAAUCAUAGGACUUUGCACUUUUUUCUAUCUCUGAAUAGGCAAGGUAUAAAUCAGUGAAAUAGGUGGUCAACCUUGAACCAAUGACUACUGCUCGUAGAGUAUGAGUAUGUACAACGAACAUACUUACAUACUCUGAUGAACAUCACAAAGGUUGCAUAGCCCCCUGUCAGUGUUUGAAAUGAUCGCAUAGCUAGUUACCAGAAAUGUAGCAGAAAAAGAACAGUAUAGCUCUUUUGGGGUUUUGUGUUUAUACAUUUUCAUGAUUGGUCAAUGUGGGAAUAAAUAAACAUAUAAAUAAAAACAAUGACUAUAGUUAGGCAUUGUCCAUUCAUAAAAACAGAUGAGGUGGUAAGAGAAUUAUGAAUAUACAGUGAAUGUAAAAAUCUAAAGAGAAAGUGACUCCUCUUACCUCUGUGGUUAAUGAUGUAUAGACAAUAUUAUUAAGGGAGUAUUCCAAAUGUUACAGUAGCUAGUUUGAAAUUAUUUAUCUUCUUAUAAAAGACUCAAAUUAGUGAUUUUCUAAGUCAAAAAGUUACAAAGCUAGAAUGAAUAGUGAGAAUAUCAUACUUGCCUCACAUUCUGUGUCAUAUUUGUCUCCGAGUGAAGGAACGAGUCUGCCAUCAUCAAGGGCUCUGCACUUUACCAAGAAGUUCAUGUUGAAUGUGAGUUGAAACCAGCAUUCUUUUUUUUUUAAAUUGAAUAUUUUAUUUAUUUACAUAUCAAAUGUUAUCCCCUUUCCUGGUUUCCCCUCUGAAACCUCCCUGUCCCAUCCCCCCUUACCCUGCUUCUUUUUUUUUUUUCUUUAUUUUUUUAUUAGAUAUAUUUCUUUACUUACAUUUCAAAUGCUAUUCCCUUUUCUGGUUUCCUGACCAUAAGCCCCCAUUCCCUCCUCCUCUCCCAUACGGGUAUUCCCCCAUCCAUCCCCUUUACUGACCCCCCAAAUUCCCUUGCACUGGAGGUCCAACCUUGGCAGACCCAAGGGCUUCCCCUUCCACUGGUGCCCCAACAAGGCCUUUCUCUGCUACAUAUGCAGUUGGAGCCCUGGGUCAGUCCAUGUAUAGUCUUUCAGUAGUGGUUUAGCCCCUGGAAGCUCUGGUUGGUUGGCAUUGUUGUUCUUAUGAACCCAACAUUCUUAGUUUUGUUUAAGUGGUUUGCUUACGGUAAUCACUGUACUAUUACAAAGUAUAUAAUACCCCUAACAAGUGGCCAGCAUUUUGCCAGUGGCUUGUAAGGAGCUGAUUCAAAAUGCUCUACUAAUAAGGCAAACAUAAAAAGUGGAAGAUAGUUGAUUAAUAGAUAAACCAAUGCUGUAGUAGCUCUGUAUGCAAAUUAGGAGUAGAGGGGCACUUCUUCACCUUAUGCAAGUCAUGGAGCUGACAUUGGAAGGGAGAUGAUAGCUUACUCAACAGACAGAUGAAUGAAGAAAUAAAGACUAGACUUUGAUCAAUGAUGACUCCGAUGUGGGCAUCAUGAAUGAAUCCAUAUGUGGAAUCCUCAUGUUCAACCCCAAAGAUGAGCAGCACAUUCUUUGUUUCAUAUGAUCCUCUUGACAUUACGUUUUAGAGUUUGUUUUUAUGCACUUUACUACUCUUUUAUAAUUAAACCAUUGUAAGAAAUAGUAAACAAACUAAAAACAUAAAUUUGGCGAUGUCAAAAUUAAAAUGUAUGACAAAGCAAAAAUACCAUCGGUAGCUAUUUAAAUGAGUAUUGCUGGUAUUGUUCGACUAUGGUGAUGGCAACUGUACAAAAUAUUGAACUUUUCUACUCUUGUGCUAAGAGGGAGUUCAAAAUUUUUCAUUUUUUUCUAAGCACUCUCUCAAUUAAUGAUUGUUAAUGAAAGGUGAAUGCAAUAGUCAAUGAUGAAGAAAACUAGCAUCUUCUUGUCAUGGAUUCUGUUCUUUGCCUCUAAGAGUAGACUAAUGGAAGGAGAAUUCCUUAUCCACACCUGGAGGCCAUGGUACGUAUUACACAACAUGUUCGUCUUUGUUUGUAUAAUUUUUUAAAGCUGUUUUCAAAUAUCCUAUCUAUGUUGUGAUAUUAUUCUAUGUCAUUAUUUGAUGGCAGCAGACCAGUUUCUAAUGUGUGAUGGACAGGAAAAACACGCAGGCACAUAUGUGGAAAGAUGAGCUCUGUGAUAGUGAGAAUAAGUCUACAACUGAUUCUAGCAAAGGUAGUUAUCCAAUGACAGACCCGAAGAUCUUAGGUUUCUGUGAUCCGUACGACUUAAAAGUUGUCAAUGGUGAAUUAAUGAGUUAAUAACUAAACAGGGUAGUAAUGAAAAGAGACCAGUGUUCAUCCUAGGUUCAUCAAGACUCUGUGUCAUCUGAGCAACGAAUUUGUAUACAUCUGGAGCUUAGAUCCUCCAUAGAUGAAGUGCGCCAUCACCACCUCUCGAGUCAUAUUGUAGAUAGGGACCAGGGAGAGUGGGUUUCAUUUUUGCUCUUGUUAAAAUGCAUUUUGAAGCUAACGCUACAAGCAGUUCAAGGAAAGAGCCAGUAACCAAUUAUAUAGUUACUAAUGGAUAGAAAUUAACCUUAUUCAACUAUAAGAAUAACAUUUCUAGACAAUAAAAUCAGUGCUAUGCAUGAGGUGGAAGACCAGUGACAGAGUCUGUAUUUGUGCCACCACUGAUACUGUUUGUUUAAACAAGAGGAUCAAAUAAAAGCCAUCCCAAAUUGCCUAAAUGACCGACUAAUGAAAGAUUGGAUGCAGAGACCAAUGCAAAUGAGGCUGACUCUUGGUAAUGAUCUCCUUCACUCUGUAUUCCUGAAAGAACAGAGUUGUGCUGGCCCAUUUUUCUUUGGUCAGACCUGUGGGUGGAUCUCAUAUCCUGAGUGUGAAGAGCUCUGUGAGUAGUGUCAGUUAAGAUUGUGGUCUUGGUAUUGUUUUUUUAUGUAAUUAUUUACUUUUAAAAUAUUUUUGUACACUCAACACACUUGAAUUUUUUCUUUCUUUUCCUAACUUUCACAUCUUUGGAGUUGGUUUUUUUUUUUUAAGCCAUUCACAGAAAUCGAUUUUUAAAGUGUGACUUAGAAUCAUUGAGAAGACACUUUGACCUACUGUAAAAAUUGGCUUAAUAUAAACCAUUGUUACCUCGAUCUGUGUCUGUAUAUAGCACUGAGGUUAAAUCAGAGUAGAGCUAUUGUUAUAAUAGGAGUUAUGCAGAAAGGUGUUAGUGUCAUCCAAGGAUCAUAAGUUUUUGUGAUUCUUAUGUGAUUGUUUAUAGUAGAUGAACAAUGCAGCCACAUGGUCAAUAAAAGCACAAAGACGUGAGUGAAGAGCACAGGAGCAGCCUGAGCUCCUGAGGGUGGUGCUGGUAGUGUAGGAGUUGUAGACUACAAAGGAUGUCUGGCUCAUGCACUUCUGACACAAGAGGAAUCUCAGUGCUCUCUCGGGGGAGAAAAUAUGGAGAAAGGUCUUGAGAGCUGUGCAUGGCUCCCUGGUUUGGGUUUAUUAGAAAUGAGUCCAUGAGAGAUAAGUAUGACAGAGGAAGCCACACUCUAACUCCUAGCUCAUGUUUCACUGGAUGAACACUGACAGCGUGUGGAAGGGAUGAUAAGUGGACUAUCAGGCUUUGUUCUGUUUCCAGGGGUCCAUAGCUACCGAUGGCUAGAGGAGAGCAUUACUCUGGGCUCUUUGUGAGUUCAGAACUCAUUUUAUCAUAUGGCAAAUAGCCCAUCAUUACCAUGAAGGAUCACUAAGUGCUCACUAGACACCAUCGCAACGUUACAGAGUCUCUGUCACCUUGGCAGUGAGCAAUGUGCCCGUGGUUGUGUUAUCUUUGCCAGUGUCUUACAUGUGUAAAAAUAGUGAGUUUAUCAUCGUAAAGAGUAAAUGAACAAGGAUAAAAAUAAAUAAUGAAGAAAAAAAACCCAUGGGGACAUAAUAGUAUUUCUUUAAAUAAGUUAACAGUUUAUCCAUUUUUUUUCUCUUUUGGUUUAAAAUUCUAUUUUAAUUUCCUGGGAACCUAAUAUGUCUUUAAAUGUUUUUAUUUUCAUAUAUGUGUGCUGUAUUUACAUCAAUCCAUCCCUGCACUUAGGCAUUACCGUAUGAAAAUGUCCUCUUUCUGUUCUGCAGGAAGCUGUACCACAGUCGAUCAGAACUAAUCAUGAAGGCCUCUGCCCUCUGGAGAGAGAGAAUAUCAUGGAAGUAGAGUGGAUGCACACCUUCUCCUCUCAUCAUCGCUACUUCAAGAUGAAGGUCGCAACACUGACUGUAUGGCCCUGGCAGUAGAGAUCUCAGUAAGUAAGAGACCGUGUUUCCUGCCUGUUUUUUUGUUACAGAGAUCACUGUCUAUUUAAAAUUGACAUUAUGUGUCAUAUAGUCAAAGACAACUACACAUAUCCUAGUGCUCAGGGGGUCCAGGGAAGCCAAAGUCAGUCAGUCUGCAUACAUGAGGCCUACACACAGUGGGUUUGCACUACAUUCUGAAACUGAGAUCACAGACACACGCUAAGUGAGGCAAAGACUAUGUUCAUGAUAAGAAAGGGACAUAGAAGAAAGGGUCCACAUAGCACCCAUCCUGGAGUUGUCAUAAAAAGGAAGAUUGGUUUUAAUGGGGUCAUGAAGUGUGCUCCACUAAUGCAGUCUCUAGCAAAAUGGAGAAAACCAACUCCCCCUGUUGUGUUUGGCUGCAGAAUCUUUUCUGUUGAUUUAAUUUUUGAAAAUGAGUGACUAAAUUAAUCAGGAAAAAAAAAUCCGUGCCCAGAAAUGUUAAAUGAUGGAGAUUAUCCCCAUUGAGAACACUGGCCAUGAAAAUUAAGAUUUAUGAUCGACUGUUUUUUUUUUUCUCUUAAACCCAUUUAACCAAAAAGAUUUAAUUGGUUGCAUUUGUGUAUAAAGAACCCUCCCCAAAACCACCUUCAAUACUCAUUCUUUUUCAUUUAUUUUGUACUUUGAUGAGUUCCUGAAACCAUAGUUAUCAUCAUUAUUUAGUAAACCAAUCUUUUAAAAAGUAAAUUUGAGACAGACCAGGUGUGGGUCGAUAAUUUACAUGUUUUGUGGAAAGUAGUAUGAUUACGGUUCUUAGUCAGUGAUGUCUACAGAGGGAAUUUAGUCCCUCCUGUCUUUGUUUUUAUGGAACAUGGGGCACAAGGCCACUUUGUAUGAACUAAUAAGGUGCAUUUCUAUUCUCUCGUGGCACUUACGUGACCUAUCGUUGUCUAUCUCCAGCACAAAUUCUUGUUUGCAGGUUGAUUAGUAGGCUCAAAUACUCCCCGAGUAUUAUUUCCUGGCGCUCAGUCUCUGAGAAUGGUAAAACUGCCAAUAGCUGUUGCUUUUCAUCCUUGUCAGACCUUGUGUCAAAUACGGAGUUCAUAUAGGAGCCCGACCCCGAAACUCUGGGAUUAGAUAAUCCCAAUUUACAAACACUGUAACAGGACAAGUGCAUGUGUGGCCUAGAAAUAAGGAGUUGGCAUUCUCUGCUCACUUUUAAGUUUGGGAUGCUUUAUGAGGAGGGGCAUUACGAUGCUGUGAGGUCUUUCACAACUUCAACUCACUGCCAGAAGCACAUGCGAUGUUUGAGUGAGUCAGGGAAUGAACGAUGACCAAAAGAAGGAAUAAACGGAAUAAUGCCUGAAGUAAAGAUCCCUUGAGGGGGGACAAAAAAAGGUAUGAAGUCAUGAAAACAUGGAGGUCUGUGCCAACCGAGGAUAAUAAAACACUAACUAAUGACUAAGUUACAAAGCAAAUGAGUCCAUGGCGAGUCUGUUAGGGGAUGCGUGCAUAAGCGGGCCAGCGUGGCAGAAGGGAGCAAUGAAAGAAAAGCCUGUGAGUGAGUGGGUGGGUGGGUGAGUGAGUGGGUGAGUGGGUGGAUGGAUGGAUGGAUGGAUGGAUGGAUGGAUGGAUGGAUGGAUGAAUGGAAGACAAGCGUACCAGUGGGUCAGCCUAGGAGAGUGAAUGUGUACUCAGUCAGUCUGAAUUCCCUAAUGUGUUUAUGAAUGGACGAAUAAGUAGAUCUUCAUUUCUAAAGAAGGAAUAAAGGAAGUAGUGAGUCAGUGUCUGGGUCCAUUAGUGAAAGGAGACACUGUUGGUCCAAAUGAAUGAGUGAGUAAGUGAGUGGCCUCAAGGAUGUGUGAUGGAAUGAAUCAGUGAAAGGAAAAAAAUCACUAUUACAACUGCAUACUAAACGUGUAACUGAACAGAAUGCUAAAUGAAUAAGUGAAUGAAAGGCCUAUGGACGGAUGGAUGACCAUAGCAUAGUUAAUGAGUAAAGGAAUUGGUUAGGGAGCAAAUCUGUCAGCAAGCAUGCAAUUAAAGAGUAAGUUGUGCUCUGUCGAACGAGUGGCUGAACUAGUGAAUGAGUUGAUGCAUGAAUGAGUCAGCUGUCUGGGCGUGAGGCAGUGAAUGAACUCACAGCUUCUCCUCUGUUCCAAGGAGAGUGGCCACGCCCAGCUCCGCACCAGUUGUAAAUACUUGAGCCAAAGCGCCCUACUUUCCCUAUCAUGGGCGUUUGUUUACAUGUCAGCACUAAACUAAAGAGCCUCAAGGGCCAGGAACUGGGUCAAAUACUUCUCUCUAUCCUUAGCCCCUGCCCAGCCUUAAGCCUGGUAGGCGCCCAGUAAAUUAUUACUGAAUGAGUGAGCAGAUGACUAAAAAUACAUGUGCUUUUGUGGAACCGGUAUGGCCUGGUAGCCGCUCUUUGGAGGAGUGUGCUAGGUGUCAGAUGCUUUGUGACAUCCUCCCUGCAAGACCAGAUUCUUGUCAGGGCCAGGCUUCCUGUGCCAGAUAAUGAGACAGGAUACUGGCAGUUCUUACUGCCUGGGACACUGGCCCAUCCUUGGGUAACUCUGGCUUGGCAUGGUGAAAUGGAAGCCCUGGAUCUUCCCGAAAGCUCUCCUAGCCUCUGCCAACACGGGAGAUCAGAAAUAACCAAGGCUUGUUUUUAUGCCUCUGCUGAGUGGGCGCGUGCCUUGUCUUUCCAAGCAAACCAAAUCCCUCUCACUUCUAACCGUGGGACUUGGAGUUGAAUGAGAAGCACCGGCCCACGGUAUGCCUCAGUGACAGGACAAUGCUGCCUUCCAGAAGGAUCUGUGCAUUCCACAGGAGAUCAUUGGAGGAUAGCCGUGGUUUUCCUGUGUGUAGUAUGGCAUCUGGGAGAGGAAAUACCCUUAAAAUAUUAAAAAGUACUGUUCUGUCCCCUCUCCACCCAUCAUAGUUAUAUUUAUUGGAUCAUUUCAGUUUUGCCUUAUUGAAACUGUGGUAAUACCUAGAAGACCAGAGAGGCAAACCAAGUUCUAAGAGGGAUAGCAUAUGAGGCAAGCCUGUCCACAAAAGCACAACAUGCCCUCCUAUCAGACAACAGACAGUUUAAAAAGUCCAUUGUCAGCACUUUAUCUAUAGGGGGUAUUCGCCUAAGACCCACCAUCCAUGGUUCUUUCCUUUUCUCCCCUCUCUCUCCUUCCUUCUUCCCUUUUCCCUUGCUUCCCCCUUUCUCUUCACAUAGUGUAAAUAUAUAGCAACACCAUAUGCCUAACACUGGCUGUUCUUCCUUCCUUUCCUUGGUGGUCCCUGGCCAUGGACUCUAGCCCUCAUUGCCCAUUCUGCACCUUCCCUUCAGACUGAGUGAUCACAUAAGACACCGUUCAGCCGUGAGGAUUCGUCUCAGUUCCCACCGUUAACCCUCUUCCCACCAACUCAGGUCCCUUGAACACAGAACCUUUAGAGACUUGGUAACCUGAUCCAGCUUCCAAUGAAGAAAAAUGGCCGCGGUACAGUGCCAGUCUUACUGGGUAAGUUCCGCUUUUUUUUUUUUUUUUUCAGUUGCUCUCUAUGCUGUGUGUCUGGGGCAAGACCAGAGACAUAGUCAGGUGGAUGCUUAGAUUGUAAGCACUGAAAGAUGAGCUGGAGUGUUUGUGCAGCCUGCGGGGAGGCCAGGUACACUGGCUUCUGGAGAGUAGCAUUAGCUACUUCUGGCAGUGGCUUCUAUGAGUGGAAGGCAGGAAUUGCCAGACAAGUCUCCCAUUUCCACAUCUCUGAUCGAUGACGAUAUCCAGGAUCCUUCCUGACUGCCUGAGUUGCAGCUUUGGCUAACCUCUGACCCCUACUUCUGUGGUACUUGUAAAUAAAUAAAUAAAUAAAUAAAUAAAUAAUGAUGCAAACAAGCCAGGUGUCAUGGUAUGCACCUGUGAUCUCCAUCUCUUGAGAGACUGAGGCAGGAGAAUUGGGAGUCGCUAGAUAGCCUGUUGCAUUUUUCCGGACUAGAGAUGGCCAUGGGGAAACACAAAAGCAAAAGCCAAGUGGGGCUGUCCUCCAAAAGAUACCAAGCUCAAAGGUCAUAUAUGUCCUGUGAUACUUAAAAAAAAUAAUGCUUUCUCAUUGAUAGAAAAAGUUACUGUUCAACGGGAAAGCAGGGGAGGUAUUGGGGGUUGGGCUGAAUUUUUAUAGUCACACCACUCAAAGAUGGCCACUGCCGAUGUUUGGCUAGUAAUGUUUGGUUUCUCGUUUAUUCCUAUAAAGUGUACUUCUGUGUACACUUGCGUUUGUGCGUGUGUGUGUGUGUGUGUGUGUGCACGUGUGUUUAACUGAACUUAUCAUUGCUAUUUUUUUUCUCAUCUGCCUGUGUAUCCUAAACUCUGGCCCUUGCCAUUCAGUAAUUAAUCAUUGUUGUUUUUUUCUAAUGGUCACAAAAGAGUCUAGCCAGUGUCUAUAAUUAACAAUUGGCCUGUGCAGUCCAUCUGCAGACAGGUGUGAAAGCUGGGUGGCAUUGUUUUUAGGGGCCUUCUCUGCAUGCUCCCCUCUGUAGCUUGGUCUAGUGUCUUGCUGUUCUUUUCACAGCGAGUGGCUCUGUCAGGAGCCACGAGCACGAGGCCAAAUUACCCUCUGCAAACUUUGCGCCUAUUACAUUUGCAGAAUCAGUUUGAGAAAGUGCCUGCUGCUCUGGGAAUUAUCAGAGUUUUUAACCUUUGCCAAUUUGUCAAAACAUGACAUUUCACCAUUUCCAUCCCCACUGCUUUUACCGAGGUGGCACAGAGCGCUUCCCACCCCUUUGUGGGGUGUUGGUAUCUCAAUUGCCAGCUCACACUCCUUGCGCUUUUCAUUAUUCCUUUAGUUUUUGUUGUUUUUUUUUUCUUUUUUGUCAAACUCAUACAUACACAUCAUUUUAAGAGCCAGAUCCUUCUACAAGAUUGUCAGGGAAGCAUCAGCCCUCCCACCCUCCCAGCUCCACCCGAAUAUUAUGCGUUACCUGUAACUGCCUUAACUGAUUCUCUUGACAUUUAGAUCCUAACGCUAAGUAACAUUCUUGUUUUUCUGCUCCUAGAUUUUCUUUCUUUGUGUGUGUGUGAUUUUUUUUUUAAGCUUAGGCAUCAUUUUGAUUGCUCUAUUGUUGAAGACAAGCAUUUAGCUCUCUUUUACAUAUGCCCCUGUCUUCACCCCGCACACACACCCCUAUAUUAUCUUCCCAAUAGAUUAUUUUGAAAUGCUGGCUUGAUCAAUACCUAAGAGGUUACACCCCUCACUGAAUAUGAGCAUUCUUACAAAGAAUAACAACAUGGACCUGAAUAUUUUUCUUCUCCCUAGUAUUUUUUUCUUCUAGUGUGUGUGUGUGUGUGUGUGUGUGUGUGUGUGUGUGUGUGUGUGUGUGUGUUCAGUUUUGUUUUGUUUUAUGUAGCUCAGGUUAACUCACAGCCUUCCCAUAUAUAAAAAGACAUGAGGUAUUUAAGAAAUAUCCUUCUGGAGCCAGCUUCUAAUCUUCUCAUGGACUAACUCAUGUUUAGGCUGCUGCCAUCCUGAUCUUCCCAUCUCUUCCUGAGGAUAGGUUCCUUUGGUCUCCCUCCCCCCAUGGGUUGAUUAUUCUUAUAGAUGCUAUGAUAUUCACUGGGGUUGGGGAUUUCCUAUUGUUAAAAUUUGAAGAAAAACAUUGAUAGAAAGUAAAAUUUGGGGGACCUUUCACAUUUGUAUAGGAAAAUGUCCACACUGACAUUGAUAAAUCAGCUAGGUAUAAAAUUCUGAGUUACAGUUUUUCCCUCAGAUUUUUAAAGAUAGAUGGACUUGAAAAUUAAAAAGAAAGAAAGAAAGAAAGAAAGAAAGAAAGAAAGAAAGAAAGAAAGAAAGAAAGAUGGCAAAGAAAACAGGUUAGAAACUCUCAGGGUAAGAAAAUUAGAGAGAGAUGAAGGUGAACAAUACCCUACCAAUAACAUCAGGGAUACAUACAUGCCUUGUCUUCUAGCUUCCAGGCCUACUGUGAAAAGCCAUAAGCCUUGUCCUUCAGUCUUGUGGGAAUGUGUAGGAUUUUCCUGUUUUUUUCUCACUGUAUGAGAAUUUCAUUGCUUCUAUGCUGAUUUGGGUAUAUGCUCAUCCAUUUUCUUUCUUUUGAUUCAAAACUUUCUCUUUCUACCCUUUAAGCUAAUUUCUCACUCUCUUUCCUCCCCUCAGCAUCUCAGUUGUAUAGAGAUCACUUUGACUGAUUAUAUAGUGUUGCUAAGUCUUCCUCCAAUUUUCUUAGUUUGUGGUCCUAUGCUCACAGUAUUCUUUCCCUCCGUCCCUUCCUUCCUUCCUUUCUUUCUCUUUUUAUACUUUACAUUUAAUUUUUUUCUUAUGGAGGCUUUUAUUCAAAAAUUAUGGUGCCAGGGAAAUGGAUUAACAGUGAAGAGCUUGGACCAGGGUUUGGUUCCCAGCACCCAUGUUGGGUGGCUUACAACCACUUUUAUCUCAGGCUACAAGAGAUAUGUUGGUCUUUAAUGGCUUUCAUUGUAUCUUCAUGUAUGCAUGUGUGUAUGCACAUGUGUGCACCCAAACACCUCUUCCCCCCCUCAUACCUACACACACACACACACACACACACACACACACACACACACACACACACAUAAAUAUUAAAAUAACACUUAAAAUGAAAUAUUAUUAGGUUACAGAAAUAUAUCAUUCACGUUUUUCUUAUAGUUUCAUGAUUUGCAUUUAUGUUUGGAUAAAAAUGUAUCUCCCACCCAAAAAGCUCACAUAGUUAUUUUUUUCUAGACUUCUAUAAUUUUAUAUCUCAUAUUGCAAUAUUUAACCCAUUAAUUCAUUAUAAACUAUCUAAUUUCUACCUUUAUUACAUUGCAUAUCAUUUUUUUAAAACAUGUGUGAGUGUUUUGGAUGCUUGGGUCUGUGUAGUAUGCAUGUUCAAUGCUGAUGUUGACUGAGGAAGGUAUGGGUCCCCCUGAAACUAGAGUUAGAGGUACCUGUGAACCACCAUGUGGUAACCAAACCUAGAUCUUCUGCAAGACCAGCUAGUGCUCUAAGUUCUGAGUCAUAUCUCCAGCCCCCCACAUAGACCUCUACUGUUUUGAUUCCUGUAUUGACUUUCCUCUGUCCUGUUGUCUUACUAAAUUUUUAGACCAGGUGUACUUUGUUUUCAUGCACCAUGUUACAUUGAAUCAUUGUUCAGUGAUAAUAGCCUUCCUUCAUUUUUUUCCUUUAAUAUUUUUUCCUUUCUGUCUGCUCUGCUUGCUCUUUCGGGUGGAUUUUAGUGACACUGUGAAUUUUCAAACACUUUAGAUUUUCUGUGGACGUUUAUAAAGUGGUCAGUCAAAGCCAGGCAUGGUGGUGCACACCUGUAAUCCCAGCAUUUGGGAAGCGGAGGCAGAAGGAUUAUGAGCUCAAGGCCAGACUGGCUACAUAGGGAAACACUGUCUCAAAAAAAAAAAAAAAAACCCAACCAAAUAAUCAAGACCAGCAACAAAACUUAAUCUUCUUACAUGCUAUUUUGAAGCUGUAAAUUCGAAUAUAAAUUGUCCGAUUUGGCAUAUUCAAUUUGUCACUAAGAUUAUUCCCAAGAAUCAAGUGUUACCUCUGUUGUGAAUCUGGCCCCCACCAUUUUUCAUAUUUUUGAACUCCAUGUCAGUGGUGUGUGGGGAGCUUUUAUAUAUUUCUAGUGUCAAUCUGUCUCGUUGAAUUUGUGCUUCAAGCUUUUCAUUGAAUAAUUUAGAAUCUCUACAUAUAGUCGCUCGUAUCUCUAACUUUUAUCUCUUUCAUGUUGUCUUGCUGAUUGCUUUUUCUUAACUUAUUGUAUUGGCUACAAACUCUAAAACACUGUUAGUAACAGUUGCCUUCUCACUGUCAGGCGCAACUACAGAUUAUUUUUCUGACUAGACUUUAUUUUUUAAUAAGAUUGUAGGACUUCUAGUACGUAUGACCCAGGAAUGGAUUUUGAAUUUUGUGAAAUGCUUUCUUUGAUGUCCGAGAGAUGUCUUGUGUUGUUUCUCUCUGUCAGUACAAUGAAUGCUAAUACUGUUUCAUAACUUUGAAGUGGUUUGGGGUCAAAUUCUAUUUGAUUGUGGCAUGUUGUUGUCCUUUUAAUAAGACUUGCUUUCUAAGUGUUUAACUCAGGACUUUUCAAAUGUGUUUGUUGUCAGCUUUCAGUGUCAACAUUAUGUUGGCUUUGUAAAAUGAAUUAGGUGUUACUUCAUCUUUUUCUGUAUUCUGUACCAUAUAUACAUAUAUAUAUAUAGAAUUUGAAUGGAAAGUCCCAUGAAAACUUGAAUUUGCUAACAUUUACCUCCUGGGAAAUCUUUCACAAUGCUUCUAUGUCUUUUGUAUUUACUGGAAUCUUUUAAUUUUCUGUAUCUUUGAAAGUCCUGCCUCUUUUUCUAAUAUAUCGCAGUAGUUAAAUCUUUAGAUAUAUUGAGCUUAAAUCCUUUCUCAUGGGACUCUUGCAAAUACUGUCUCUUUUCUAUGCUUAGUUUCCUCAUUUGCCGAACGGUUAAAAUGAGAACCUAUGAAGGGCCACUGGGAAGAUGAAGAGAUAAAGUAUAUCAUCCUGUGUCCAACACAGUCACCUCCCAAUAUUUCCCUUUUGGUAUAACUAAUCCUUGGAGAUAACACCGUUUGAGAUUUAAAAUGCUAUUGGUAUAGACUUACACUUAAUGUUACUUUGUAAUGAAGUUUUAUGUUUCUGUGACUACAUCUUCUUUUCAUUUUAUAUAUGCAUACUUUAUCUCUUUAAUACAUGAUCUAAAGAAAAGUCUGUGCUUUUUUUUUCCCCUUCGAAAACUCUGUUCUUAGAAUUAUUUCUUAACUCAGCAUUUUGUGUGUGCACGUUCACUGUUACCUGCCUUUAUCCUUACGGUUCCUUCCUUCUGCCUCCCUCACGUGUGCCCAGUCUAUCUGUGUAUCGCCAACUGUCGUUCUUCUUUAAUGAUUGGAAUAUGUCACGGUGUGAAUUUGCCUCUUACUGCAACUCUGACUUUGCAUUCUAUGAUUCGAUAUGUAGUUUUCUCGGCGAUUUUGAGCAUUUGUAAUUAUGAUUUCUACUGUUGUUGUUGUCAUCGUUGUUGUUCUUAAAUGGUUAUCUCAAUGAAAUGUGAAAAUUAGCACUCACUUUCAAUCUAACUUCUGCUUUAUUUGGGUUGUGUGUGUCCUCGAUGCCCUCUGUUCAAACAGGAUUAUAUUUUACUGUGGCUAGAGAAUGUGCACACAAAUUCUAUUCUCGGGGGAAAUUCGUUGAUGCCUUUCUAAAGUAUAAUAUAAUCAGUUUUGUAAAUGUUUCACGGGCCGUUAAAGUGAGAUGUCUAUUUCUUUAUAGGGCACGAGUUUUGAUGUAAAGAAAUCGAAUCUUAUUAGUUUUCAUUUGUUCCUUUUGGAUGUUCGUAGAAUAUGUUUGAAGUUUAUAAAUAACCAGAGUUUUAAUCUUAUUCUAGGAGUUUGUAAUAUUUUUCUUCUAUAUGGUGUAGAACUUGCAUGGGGGAAACCCAGUGCUGUUGAAAUGAGCAAUCUCUGUUUCUCAGUUUCUGUUAAAUAUGAUGUUGACUUUAGAUGCGGGAUCUGUUUACCAUUUGGUCUUUUUGUUCUUGUUCUUGUUCUUGCCUAUUUGAUGUUUUUGUAGAAAUGAGAAGCUAUGAACACUAUGUUUCUAUUAUUUUGUUCUCCGUGUUUUGAUGUCCUAUGUUUCCUUGCGUGAUGUUCGCAAAUGCUGUGUUCCCCUCACGGAUUGCCCCUCCGUCUUUAACAGGUGUUCUCCUUGCCAUGUCCUGACCUGACAUGGUAUUGCAGGAGCACAUUUUGCUUGGCUGUUUUAUUGCCAUGUCAGGUGACCUUUUUUCUAUAAUUGCUUCUUCUGGAAGCAUCAGAUGAAGCCUACAUGUUAUUUGAAUUGGUGACUUCCUGUCCCCAAACCCACAAACACACUCUCUGGUGUCCCAUGAUGCUUCCUCCUUUUGCUCCUAAAACACACAGUUGACUGUCCCAAAUUAAAGUCAAAGACUGCCUUUGAAUCCACCCAGUAACUUUUAUACUCAUCUACUUCAUACACAUCACAAGAUUGGUAUUCUCAGCAGCUGUCAGCCAUUUUAUCUUUCUGUUCCCACUUAUUAAAACAAAAAGCAAAAUAUGAUUAAGAGUUUAUGAGAGCUGCUAGCCUCUUUAUUUGGACCAAAUGUUACUCCAACAGCCUAAUAACUAAAAGCGACGGAGUUAAAUCUACCCUGUUUUGGUUGGAGGUGGGCAUGUCCCUGAGGGCUAGGUGCUGGGAACUCUUCUCCAUGUAAUGGGAGUCAAUCCAUCAACCCUUCUGGAAAACCUCUGUGAUUAAGUAUUUUAUUAACUGCACAAACGAAUUGAACCCAUUGCUAUGUAUGGCAAGCCAGCGCGUCGUUGGAAGAAAGUGGCUUCUGGCUGUCAACUGCUGUCUAAAUUGCCUGGUGUUUGAGAUGCAUGCUGUGUGGGCUGCCUCAGAGCUGAAUGCAGGAAAAUUGAGGCCUUUCCUAUUUUUCUGGGCCAUCUCUUCGGCUUUGCAAUUUUUAAAGUUUAUUUAUAAUCUGUCUUAAAUUGACAACGUAUAGUUUGGAUUUGAGGCUUCUGACCCAAAUUGAAAAUCUUUUCUCUUUGAGGGUGUCUAACCCAUUUACAUUUUUUUCCUUGAUUGUCAUGUUUGAGCUUUAAAAAAAAAAAAUGCUUCAUUCUCUUUGUCCGCUUUCUCUUUGCUCUCUUUUGUUAUACCGCCAGAACUACAUUUUUAUUUUCUUUUGCUCUGCUGAUUUGGAAAGCACUCAGCCAACUUCCAGCAUCUACGUGGGCCUAUAGUUACCUUCAAAACCAUACUUGUCCCUAGUUUUAACAUGUAGUCAGUCUGACUGGUCCCUGUGUGCAAUGAAUAGUAAUCCAAUGCCACCCCCUGCCAUCAUAUCUCUCAGUGAUAUGCUCCUAUGGGGUCUCUCCCUGCUUCUCUACUUUCCUUUCUUCACCCAUGUGAUCUGCUUUUGGGGAGGUGUGAAUGGCCCUCUGCCCUCUGAGACUUGGCCCUAUUGCAGGGGCUGGGCCUCCUUCCUGUUCCUAGACCCUGUGCUGCCAUUGCAAGCUUCCUGACUUCUUGUCCUAUGGGGAAUGUCUCCAUCUCUCCCACUUCUCACUCAUCUGCACUGUAUGUCGAAAGAGAGGAGCACUGAGCCAGUCAAUUUGGCUUAAGCUAGACAUGUGUGCUCGCUUGUUGAAAAUCCAAAGAGAUUGAGAAUCUGACAAGCCAGAGACCAUAUGUGAGUGUGGAUUCUUAAGGGAGGGGAGUACCUGGGGGAACAGAAGACUCACUAGGAGACCAGAAGUAGAGAAGCAAAUGAGAGACUGAGCUGGGGAGAUGAGACAAGCCAGACUGGAUGGAAAUGUUCAGGACCAAGCUGGACACAGGGUAUAGGGCUGUUAGCAGAAAGGUAGUUUGCUCAGCUCUCCAGGUACUCUGAAAGCAAAUGACAGUCUGUCUGGGAGGACAAGGACACUCUGAAGAGUCUGGCUUCAUCAUUUGGCUCUUCCUUUUAUCUCACACUGUGACAUGUGUGCCCUGUGCUUAGCAUAGGGUUGCAGAUCUGAGGACCAUAGAUGUCCUUUCUGUCCCUAGAGAAGUCCCUAAAGUAAGGGGAAGAGACGCCAGUGACAUGUCCUCUAAUGCUUUCUGAACAGGGACUUUCCACCUCAGCCCCAUCCCAUUGUUCCCUUGGUCCUUGUGGUACUUUGUGCCUCCCCCCAACCCAAUGGUAUGGGGCUCUGAGCUUGCACCCCACCCCUCUAUCUCUUCUAGGAUCGUCCUCUUCUCUAUUCUGGAGUCAACCACCCUUCACGUCUUACAGUGUUCUAGUGAGUGCCUUCACACUGAGAUAUUUCGACAACCUGUUCUAGCACCCUUCCCUCUUGGCAGCUUUGCAGAACUUACACAUUUGGCUCCUUGCCACCAUUCCCAUUAAAUUGACCCCUCUGCAUGGGAGCAGCCCUGUAACUCUUUUCUGAAUGCUCACCUGUGCUUCAGUCUCCACUCACUGUGAAGUCAAUCUCAACCUGACUCUGCUGGCUACCAAGUGUCCUCCUCAACAUGAUGACCCUCCACCAGCCCUAUGCCAAACAUAUCUCCCUUUCCCUCGCCCCUUCCCUCUCCCUCCUUCCUUCCCUCCCCUCCCUCCCCCCACCGUGUGUGUGUGUGUGUGUGUGUGUGUCCUUGAACACUUAAUUACUGCCUGCCAUCCCAUACCUACAUUGGGGUACCACCAAGCUCUCUCUGGCUUUUCCUCAUGGGAUCUCAAGCCUGGCCUCUCGGCUUCAUCUCUGUGACCUCUUUGCUACCUGGGUUUUAAUUUUCCUUCUUGAGCUCUUGCUCUCUGCACCUGUGCUUGCUAUGAAAAUGCAACUCACUGUGACCUUUAUCAAGUGGUAAUCUCUUCCCUUUGGUCUCAAAGUGAAGUCCAAGGUCUUUCACCAUUGUAACAAAGCCUUGCUUGGCCUGUGCUCCGCCAGGAUGACUUCAGGCUCCAACUGCUUCAUCCUCAUCACAGAAAUGUUCUCCACUGUCAUGCUGGGCUCCACGAUCCCCAUGCUCUGCCCAGACUCUGACUCUCCUCUCCUCUCCUCUCCUCUCCUCUCCUCUCCUCUCCUCUCCUCUCCUCUCCUCUCCUCUCCUCUCCUCUCUUCUCCUCUCCCCUCCUCUCUCAGGCCACUGCUUACUCUCAUCUGCCCUCACCUUCUGAAUCCUUUCAUUCUUCCUCCUCUGCUCAAAACUUGGGAGAAAUUUCCCAGAUAUUGCAACUACACUUUGUUCCUUUGGACCUCUUCAGCCUCUUGAAUCUCAUGUUCUGUAGAUUUCAUGUUCAUGUGGGUUUUGCUGUGCUAAAGUUGGUUUCUCCUGGAAGGCAUAGCAUGGUGACUCGUUGCUCUGACUGUGUGCCCUAUAAAUGUUUUAUGGUCAAGACAGAAUCUAUGGGAAGUCCUUGGAUUAGAGAAGAGGCAUAGGUGUAUGGGAGUAAGGUGAGCUGGGAUGGGCUAGGCAGUCACUUGAUGGGAUAAUGCAGAGAGCUCUGGAAGAAGCAGCCAAUUGUUGGACUUGAGAGUGAUAUAAGCCAUGCUGCUCUGGGAAGUGUGGAGGUAUGGACUGAGCAAAGCACCACGUGGGGGAGAGAAUUAUCUCACCCAUUUGGGAACACAAAAUAAACUGGAGCCCUGAGCACCAUUCUGAAAACAUCAGAAUAAGCAUUCAGGGACGUGGCCCAGUAGACCCUGGCCUCCAAAAUCUUGAUAGAUGCUCAUAUGCUUCAUCAGGCAAGCCCAGGAACCUCCCUUGGCCUUCCCUGGAGACUUUUAAGUCUCAUGGUUUUAUACCCAUUAUGGGGAUGUUGUAUAGACAAGGGUACCAUCAGAGGGGAGGGUUCUUACUAUGAACUGGGGAAGUACUUGUCCUCUGAGCCUUGAGUUUGUGCCUUCAUGGGCAGUACAUGGCAAGAAUGACCCCAGUGUGGUGGGGCCUGGUGGGUACCCACUAGAGGUCUUUCACCAGGUGAUCUGUGCUGUCAUGGUGUCUCCUUUGGUCAGACAAGCUGGCCAUUGGCCUUCAGUUAGGCCAGAGGCUAAGAUCAUAAAGGGCAGAAUGUAGUCAGCACAGCGGUUCACCAUUCCAAGUUGGUGUGUCCCUCAUCUGAUGCUGCACUACCUCAGGAGGGAGGCACCGCCUCUCUUUCAGCACCGUGCGACCAUUCAAGGAGGGUGUGUUGUCCACCACAUCUGCUUCCUACUGCCAAAUCAGGCCUCAGAAAAGCUUUCUGGAAGUGACGCCAGCUUCAGGGACAAGGCCCAGGUCUCUAGGGGUCAACGCCGUUCCAUGGUUCCUGCAGAGGUGGUAGACUAUGGAACGUAGGCGUUAUGUUUCUGACCUAUGUAACAUGGUCCACUAACUCUCAGUAUCCAAUCCGUCCUCGGAGGGCACCCCGGAGGUGUUACCAACAGCGAGGAAGAGAAUCGGUUCAUCCUCACACCGCUCCGUGUAAUUUCAGUGGCUAUGGCCGAUUUCUGUCUGACCUACAGCAAGACCACCAUCUUCUGGGCCCCCAGUGAGCCCCCCUCUGAGGGACUUUUGGGAAUUUCAGUCCUAGGACCGGAAGACAUGGUUUUCCUUGUGAAAUGCAUGAGAUGUCUGUGGGACAUCUCCGAGCCAGCCAGCCAGCUCUGGAGGCUUCCUGGAGCUCAUUCUCCCUCAAGGGAGACCUACCUGUUAGCAUCUACCCUGUUCUGAGCAUUGAGGAAAUGCUUCCUUUGCCUGGCAAAGCUGUCAUUUUGUGCUAAUGUCCACCUCCUCUCAAGUUCAAGUCCAGCCUCAGUGGAGAUUUAGUGACAGUACCAAGCGGGGAUGAAAUAGCGGUUUUGUGUUUAGGGAGAUAGUUGACCCAAAUAAUACUUAAAAAAAAAAGUUCUCAGUGUCUUAGAAGGCUGGAACUGCCUUUGAUUGGAACAGAUGUGCUGUUGUCUUUUUCUGGUGGCAUCCUUUUCCUAUGGCUAUGAUUGGGUCUCACAAGGAGCUGGUACAGGGUUUCAAAUGCCCUGAUACAUUUGCUUGGCCUGCUUUAACUAGCCAGGUCAUCUUUGGUUUUUAUUGCGUAUAAGUCAUUUGGCUUUCCUAAUUUUGCACCACUCCUCCACGUUAGCCCCCUGCCGUGCAUGCCCUUAAGCCUCCUUGUACCUGAAUGCCCUUUCCUUCAGCACACAGAGGGCACGUAAGCAGCAUUUGUGGAGUAGUAACAUCUACAGCAUCGUUUGUCUGCAACCUUUAUGAGCUUUUUGGAAGACUUGCCCAUUUCCGGGAUGAAUUGCUGGUGUCAGACCUGACAUGAAGAUGAGACUCUUGGUUUAUGUGUGCCUGCCGCAUGAUUGCAUGCUCUGUGCCCAGCCAGACUCAAGAUUCCACCAGCUCAAUGGCCCAGAGAGGGCUUCCUGGACGCACCCUCAGCCUUUGUCCUCGGCGUCUCUGUGUGGUACUUGGAGAGAUAGUAGACCGUAUAGCGUACGCUUUAUCUGUGACGUAUGUAACACGGUCCACUAACCCUCAGUAUCAAAUCCAUCCCCGAGGCCCCUGGAGAGGACGCUGUCUUCGGGGAGACGCCAGUAGACUCAUCAUCAGGGCCUCUCCAUGACACUGGAAGAGAUGGUUUUCAAUAUGGCAUGUGUUUUUUUGUUUUUUUGUUUUUUUACUGCAUGAUGGGAAAUGACAUAAGCUCCCUCUUCCUCUGCUGAGCUCUGCCUUGGGAACUCUUGCCAUCUUUGGGGAGGAGGCCAUAAUGCUUUCUGGGAUCAGUGCUCUUCAUGACCUCAGUGCCAUGGGUGUCUAGGCAACUCUUGGUUAGUAGACUCCAUGAGCUGCUUCUUCUCAACACUGUCCCUGAAGAGGUGUCCUGAGGCCACCUGGCAGACAUGAGCCUUCUUACAGCUGUCCCUGCUGUCACGCGGUACUUGAAGAAAUGGUUUACCGUCCCACAUACAUUUUGAGUAUGUAUGUGGGACGGUAAACCGCUUCUUGGUAUCCAGCCCAGCCAUCCAGUCCGUACCAUCCUGGACAAGCCUGAAGUGAGAGAAGAGAUGCUCUUGUGGCUUGCUCCCUACUUCGGGCUGCUUGGCCAAACAUCCCUGCUUUUUGUGUGCUUUCUCUUAAUCCAUGUGGCACGGCGUUCCUCUCAGCUUCAAUGCAGCCUCUAAGGCUUCUUCAGGAUGAUGACAACCUCCAAGAAGGUAUCUUACAUCCCACCUGGGCAUGCCCGCUCCCUCCACAGGACUUGAAGAAGUGGCAGUUAGCUCCACAAAUGCUCAUGAUCAAAGGAUGCUGCACGUUUUCAUCAUCGGCAAAGCUACCUUCAGACACCUUCAAGACAUUAUGCCCACGGAAGCGCAGAUAGGGCUGCAUGACGCAGUGCCAAGCCAGAUGCAUGAAGACACGUUCGCUGUUUCCACUGAUGCUUCACGUACAGUAUCUUUUUUCCAUCUCAAGUCUAGCCUUCUAGAGGAAGAUGACCCAGCCUGACUCCUCCAUGAAUAACCUACUGAGCCCAGCAUGUGGACUUACAGAUCAAAGUUGUUCCUUGGCUUACUUCUCCUUACCUCCAGCUCAGCCUUGGAGAACUUGCUGAAGAGGCUGCCCACCACAGAGGCAGAGCUCUGGUUUUUGCAUCAGCAAUGACCUCACGGUACCUGAAGAGGGAUCAGCUAAACUGCAUGUGUGUUAUUAACGGCGUGUGUAACAUGGCCUACUUUUUUCGAUAUUAACUUCAGCCUUGAAGGUUUCCAAAGAGGUCACAUUAACCUUGGGGGACAAGGCAGCAGGACAAAUGCCUUGGGGUAGAAGUUGACCAUGCUUCUUGCUUUACUUACAGCGCAUGAUAUUUGGUCUACCUUCCCAUAACAGCGAAUGCGCCUUGGGGGCUUUCUGUGGGCAGUAUGUCUUUAAAGCACAGCACUAGUUAUGGGGGUCUUCUCUUUGUGUCCUUGCAAACCUUUUCUCUACUAUAGUCUCUACAUCUGCAGCAGACAAUGCAUGGUGAUCUCUUUUCAACAUUGCAUCUAGGGGUUCCUGGAAGUGAUAAUCAUGAGGAAAGAAGCCAGCUCCUACGCCACCCUCUCUCCAUGGUACCUGAAAAGAUGGUUGACCAUAGAACAUGCGCUACUUCUGUGUCGUAUGUAGUAUGGUCCACAUCUUCUCAUUAUCAAAGUCAUUCGUGGAGGGUUUUCCAGAGGCCGAGCCAACUUCAUGGGAGAUAUCCUGUCCUGGCUUCAGCACAGUACUUGGGGAGAUGGUAGAGUGUUGAGUGUGUGCGUUCCUUUCAGCAUGUACACCAUGGUCCACCACAUGUCAGUAUCAGCCUGUCACCAGGGGCUUUCUGGUAGCCGUACUAACUUGAGAUCUGAGCUCAAGCAGCAGAAUUUAUCCAGAUUACUCAGUGCUUGGCUAUAAGCCAUUUUCAUCAUCUAUGACCCUGGCCAUUUGAUCCAAAGCCAACACUUGGCACCCAGCCCAGCCUUACAGGGCAUCCUGGAAGUCAUAGCGGCAUUAAACAUGAGUUUGUGGCCGUUGCCACACAUGCCAGUUGCUGGUGGUUUAUGACACACAUUGUGAGAGCUUCUUGGAGGUAACACCAAAUUAACGAAAGAGAGCUGGAAUCAGCCAGCAUUACCUCAUGGUAUUUGAAGGUGCGGUUGACCAUGGUGUGUACGCUUUAUUUAUGACAUAGGACACAUGGUCUACUUCUUCUCAAUAUCACAUCUCGCCUUGGAAGACUUCCAGGAGGUGACAUCUGCUUUGAGGAAGAGCCAGUGUCCCGGUCUCCCUACUGCUGCUGCUUGGUACUUGGAGAGAGGUGGUCCGUGGCGCGUUCGCUUCAUUUAUGGCGCACAUUACACGGUCGACCUCUUUGCGGUAUCUAAUCCCGCCUUGCGAGCUUUCCUGGAGCUAACACCAGCUAUGGGGUGGGGACACUAAGUCUGUGCUAGCACAACCCAGUGGGUUUGUCUUUUCUUGUGUCUGACAAUAACUCUUGUGUGGCAACCUUCUUCUCAGCAAACUUCUCUGGCUUGGCAGCUUCGUGGGCAGGGGUGACUUGCAGACCAGGAAAGUAGCAUCAACAUGUGACACACGUGUGGGUGCGUGAGGUGGUUGACCAGAGAGCACACGCUAUAUUUGUGCCGUUUGUGACCUGGUCCACUAACCCUCAGUAUCUAGCCUUCCCUUGGAGAACUUCCUGGAAGAGAUCUCAACUUUUGGGGACAGAGACCAUAAGCCAGCUGCACUCUGCUAGACUCGGAGACAGCAUCCUCAGUGUUUGCCGACACCUGUGCCUGAUAUGGUGGUAUUAGAUGAGCUUCCAAUGCUGUCUCUUCACUUGGAUGCCUUCCUUGAUUUGGGGCCAUCCAAGUUCAAGAAAAGUACCAUGUUGUCAGCUGACCAGAGUGUAUGUGUGCCAUUUAUAUAUGGCACAGGUCGCAGGUCACCUAGCACACUUGCAUGCUAAAUCUGUGGGAGGUGUCAGCUUUGGUUUGGGGGCACCUGUGCCUUUCUGUGGUUACCCAAAAUGGUGGCACGUCCCACGGCCAGUCUCUAUGGCGCCACUGCUCUCUGGUUGUGAGAUAACUUCAGGAUUAUGCCAUGGGACACUCUGUUGUACCGGGGCGUGUGAAGGGACAACUGUCAGUUAUAUAUCGACUAAUGGCUUGCUUGAGCUCUUUGACUAACAUCCUGUGUGCGACCCUGCAUUCAACAGGCCUUCCAGGUCUGAAGGUCACGUUGGGGAAGUUCCGAGGUAGUCUUGUCAGUGUUCGCUUCUGGUACCGGAAGAGAGGUUUUCUGGGUCUCUGUUUCUUUGAUGAGAAUGAAACACACCCAGCUAACCUUUUUUUCAGUAUCAAAUCCCAUCUUGGAGGCUUCAUGGUCCAGACCCCAGUCUCAGGGAAGGAUGGUCCUGUCAGCAUCCAGCCAGGGGACAGGAAUAACUGGUUCGCCCACAAAGCCAUCGAGUGGAUUAUCGUUUUUGAAUGGUGUCCUUUGUUCUCCUAAGCCUCCCAGGCCUGCCAGGUCUGAAGGUCGUGUUGGGAAAGGUGUCGUUAUUGUUGACUGAGAAAGUGGAAGAGGGUUUUCUGUGUUUGAGACACACCUGGUCAACCUCUCUUCCCAGCAGAACACACUAUGGAGGCCUUCUGGUCCCUACCUCAGCCUCAGCUGAGGACAGUCUAAUAGACAUGAACAAGUGAGUGAUGGACAAAACAUUCCAUAUAUCAGAUUCUGGUUGCCUCUCCCACUAACCUUUAAUAUCUUGUCCAUUCUCAGGAGGACUUCUCAACCAAUGUGUGUUCCAAAGUUGGGGAGGAUGGAUGCCACUGAGAAAACUCUACCCCAGAUCACCCAGGUAGGUUGCAUCUGCCUUUGUUCUAACAGGUUAGACACAGCCAUCCCUACACAUAUCCAGCGUGCUUUGGAGGCACAGUGAUGGGUUUUCAGUCAGCCAACCCCUAGCACAGGACUGUCUAUUGUACAGGACACCCACUGUGUCAGAUGGUGCCAAGAUCUGUGCCUUUCGUACACCUUUGGUCAUGAAGGCUGGUUCUGACAUCACCUGAGAGAGACUUUGAAGUUGCUGGGUCUGGUUUCUUGUUUCCAGGCGAUGGUCCCGGUUCUUGAUGCAUCCCUGGCCUUUGAGGAAAGGAUGCUAAUAGGUAGAGACACUGAGUUCCGAGGAAGACUGAGAUCUUGCCACUUCUAACUAGUUUUCUUGGUCAGAAGCAAUAGGAUGGCAGUAUGAUGGGCGGUGAUCUAAUCAUCUAAUUAGCAGAUGCUCAACUCUGUUGGUUCUAUCUGGUGAAUACCCAGGAAGCAUAAGACUGGAGAGGGUGCCUUGUGUCCAGUGUUACCAGGUCUAUUCAUGCUGCUGGGCUCAUACAAAUUGGACAACUGGUGACUACGUCAUUCUGUGUUCCUUUAGGACAGGAGGGAGGGCAUAAUGGCACCUGUGGGUAAGAAGAAAUCUGGAACUUUCUGUCCCUUCAUUUUUGAUUCUUCUCUCCUCAGUUCUUACUUGGUUGUCCAGGCUGUUGGAGUGGCAAUGACUUUAGGGACUCCAUAUCACACACCCUACUGCCUUGUAAUGAGAGACUUGGGGGCACCUGCUUUCUAGCAACAGAAAAGUCAACCUGAGAUUGGCACACACAUUUGGCCAAUGGGUUUUAGCACAUGAAAUUUGUUCUUAUCCCUUAAUUCCACUCAAUUCUGUGGACGGCAGUAAAGCUUUCUGUGGGGCUCCAGCUAGGACAGUAAUUCUCAACCUGUAGAUCAUGAGCCCUCUGGGGAGUCAAACAACCCUUUCACAGAGUUUGCAUGUGAGGUAUUUACUUUACAACUUAUAACAGUAGCAAUAUUACAGCUAUGAAGUAGCAUCAAAAAUAAUUUUAUAGUUGGAGGGGUCACCCAACAUAAGUAACUGUAUUAGAGGGUCACAGCACUAGGAAGGUUGAGAACCACUAGACUAGAGGGUGGGUCCUGACACUUCCUGCCUGCUUUUUCUGCUUUACUCACUUCCCUUCCCACUAACUCUAUAAUGUGUCUGCUUUUAGAAUCUUAACUUCCCUGGAAACUGCCCCCAGACUCAGCAGCCAGAGGGGCUGGCUCACUCCUGACCACCUACCUACCUCUUGGACCCAGAAUCUGAGGAUCAUUCCUGAACACCCACAAUGUACUGCUCUUGUUUGAGUUAAGAGCUGCUAUUCCCGGGGCAUCUCCUGAGGCACAAUUUCUGGGGGCCCUGGUUCCCUUUCAGUGAACCCCCCAAAACCUGGAGAGAUAUGGGAAUGCAAACCUUCUGUGCUGGUGGGAAAUAUUCUCAGGCAAUUCUGUUCACUGUCGAAUUGUAACGGGGUUUUGGUUGAUCUCCAGGGCCCACUGAACCAGACAGUUAAGGCCGAUCCUCCUGACCAGCCAUCUGGCACUUUGCAGCUGCCUUUGUUUGCUUUCUGACCAGUGCUAAUUGAUACUUGAAGGAGAGGUUGUCCGUGUUGUCUUCUCUUUAUUUAUGAUGAAACAUACACGGGAAACCUCUUUUUUAGUAUCAAAUCCCACCUGGUAGGCACUCCCUGUCCCUGAUGAAGCCUUCAGGGAAGGGGACCUGGACUGCUAUUCCCUGGACUGUGUGACAAGAAAAGUCAUUUGAAGAAGGGCCAGGGUCCCUGUGGUGACUUGAGGCUGCUCCCUGUGGCUUUGAACUGUGAGGUGACUCUUGGUGUGUGAUGGCUUUUCAGCAAGGUCUUCCUCACAGUAGCCAUAAGGACACGCCAGCAACGUGACUGAAGGGACAGUGGUGCUUACUGCUCUCAGGGUAGCUGUGAGGAUGGUAAACCGGUGACGUGCACUUCAUUUAUGCUGUAGGUCACCCGUUUUACUAUCCGCCAGCACCCAGACCGUCUGUGGGAUGAUACCUUGGUGCACACGGCAGCUAUGAAGAAGAUAUGGGUAGGGUUGAGGCCAUUGUGAAUCUGAAAUACUUCAAGUGGAGUUAGCUUUUAAGGGGAUCUUCUUCUGCUUUUGUGUGUGUGUGUGUGUGUGUUUGUGUGUGUGCGCGCGCGCACGUGCAGGCCAGGUGUGUCAUGUGUCUUCCAUAACUACUUUCUGUUUUUUUUUUUUUUUUUUUUUUUGAGAUGGUCUCUUGUUGAACUUGGAGUGCACUGAUUUUUGGCUGGCCAGCAAACCCCAGGGAUCUGCUUGUUUCUGCCUCUCAGGCUCACAGAUUACAGGUAUAUACAUACACAGUGCUUGCCCUUUCGACAUUGAACCCGGAUCCUCAUGCUUGUGUGGCCAGAGCCAUCUCUUCACGCCAACUCCUCUUCCUCCUACCUUUCAAUCCAUAAUGUCACAUUCUGCCGUAGGUGGGUGUCAGGCUGACCACAGAUGGAUUUGAGAAGGGUUGCUCCUAUCAGGAUCCAUCGGGAGAGUCUGUCCUCGUCUAUGCUAAUAUAGGGUGUGUGAGGCACCUGCUGUGGUCCACUAAAUCCUUGGUUGGGCCCGGGGUGUUGUGUAUAAGCCAGCACCUGUGAACCUGAUGCCAACAUGGCUCUGUAGUACUUAAAGAAAGCUAUGUGGUGAGCUUCCCAUGGUCGUGGCGAGCAUUUUAUGAUCCAUAUCUUUACAGCGAAGAACACCAUCUGGAGGAUCUCCUGAAUGUGAAGCUCUAACCCAAGCAGGGCUCAUUACCCCCCGGGGUGAGUGAGUGCUCUCUCUAGCCCAGCAUCAAGCCUACAUCUGCCACUUAUGGAAGAGGCUUCCUUGUUCUUGCUCAUCUCCAUGUCUGCUCAAUUUUGCUUUUCUUCUGAGGAUUAAACCAAUUGGCUGCUUCCCAGCACAAGUUCCUGCCUAGGAGAUGUAUUCCAGAUGUGGCAUUUUCCUUAGGGAAGGACACCACAGUCCCCAUCGAUGGAAAAGGUAUGUCAGGGUGUUUUGUCUGAAAGAAUAUAUUGCAUUUUCAUGUGUGUCCUGCUCUGCUAAUGCUAAGUAUGCCUUCCAUACCUAGGAGGACCUCCUGAUGGAUGAAUACCUACCCUGGGGGUGAAGGUGGCACCUCCCCCCAGGCUCCUGGCAAGUGGUUCUUACAGGCCUGGCAGAGACACAGAAAGUAAGUAGGAACUCUUAGACUGUGAUAGGGGACUAUUGUGCUUCUGCUCGUGUUUCAUUGGUCAAGCCAAUGAAGGGUGGGGAGGCAGCUUAUACCCAUGAUGUCAAGAGGGAGCACCAUCUUCCUGGAACACCUAAGAAGUCUAGCUUUAUUCAUGUCCUUUUAUAGCUCAAUAUGCCAUUCCUGUUCCUCUCUGGUAAGCUGAGGCUCAACAGAAUCUGUUCUCAGAACACUAGGAGACAUCACUUGGUUCUGGCAAAAACUCAGAUCUUUUUGUUUCCCAUUUCAUGAAGACCUCUUUGGCUCAGGGGCCCCACCAUGGUACACAGGUUGGGGUCCUCCCCUUUAGCAGAUGGGUGGUGACCUCAACUGAGAGGUCACGGGUCACACCUCCUGGAUCUGGAGCUGGAUGUUGGGAAGCAAAGUCAGUAUUGUUGUAUUAUCGUUCUCUGAUGUCUGAGAAGACUCCAAAGACCCCUGCAAAGGAUGGCCACUCCAAAGCCUGUCUACAAGAUCCUGAUUCUGCCUGCGUGGAGCGGGCACGGCUGUGAGAGCCCCCUAGGUACAGCGGGGCUGCAGCGUGAUCGCCUGCUCACGCACAGGAAGUGACGACAGCGGUACACAAGCCACAGGGUUCUAUGCUGCUGACGUACGGUGCUUAAUGAGAAGUUGCCCGCGUGUUUUUCGCUUUAUAUGUGACGAAACAUUCGCGGUGCACUUCUUUUUCAGCAUCCUAUUCUACGUUGAAGACUUCGGGGGUUCAACUACUGACUUCAGGGAAAAUGUGUUAGUCUAGGAAGGUAGUCUAUGUAGUGAGCCUGGGUUGAGACUUUAUCUCCCUUCUUGAAUGGUCCUCUGACCUUUCUUAUCCAGAAUGGGUUUGGGUUGGUUGGCCCUUCCCCCACAACACAACUUCAAAGGAGCAGGGCGAUGUUCGCCGAGGCUUCCGGGAGAGGGAGUGGGUCUUCAUUUCUGUGAGAGAUGCCUGAGUAGAUCCCACUGUUACCUUCAGCCACUUGAUGUGGUAAUGGAUGUGAGUUUGAAGGCCAGCUAGAAUUCAAGAAGAUAGUACCCAGAGCUGUGUAGACACAGAGGGGGAGGCACCUGUCAUGGGGGAACAGAUUGAAGAGGCAGCAAGGAACCAAGGGACAUUUGGGUAAGAGUGCAACCUGGGACCUGCAUCUGACACUCCUUGAAGCUCAACACGUCUCUAUACCUUUGAGUUAUGUUAGCCCGGAGCCUCUUUUCUGUGUAAGUCAGCUUGAGUUGAGCCUUUCCUUACUGUGAGAGGAACGGCUGGCUCCUCAUCGAGUUGCCAGUGAGUGUAACUGGCAUUCUUUGGAUGGUAUGUUCUCUUGCUGACUAUUCCCACUGUCCUGUCUAAGGUAGGCUGUUGAUACCAGAUCACUUUCUUUUGUGGAAUUACUGGCUGUGGUCCAGAUCCAUUGCCGUAGUGUUUGAACCUCCCAAUGAUGGCAGCACACGCUAAUCAAUGUGUUUUGUUUUCAGGGAAGGCUCAUAUGUCCCGUUCAAGACAGCUUCAGGAUGAUGGAUGGGCGCUGUCCUGGAAUCUGCUCUUUCCUCUCGUGCUGGUGCUUCCCAGUGCUCUCUGCAGAAGAGGACCCUGGAUCUGAGGAAGGAGAUUCUGUCUUGGAGUCCAUCACCAUCUGAUUUCUCCUGAGUUCACUCCAGGAACAGUGGCAAGGAUGGUAGCCAACAUCUUAGAAUCAUCAACCUUGAUGACCAAGUUCUACGCACCAGGACUUCCUGGGAUCCUGAGGUAGAGGGGGUUGGGGCUGGAUUGCUAUGGCGAUGAUAAGUACUGAGCCAUUCCUCUCUGCUCUGGGACGCCCCUACCCUACGCCUGACCUCUCCCAGGCCAAGACAGUAUCUCCCUCACCCACCACCCCUCCUGCCUGCCCUUCAGCAUCCCUUAACACUCAGACACACUGCUGGAACAAGCAAGAGCUCACCCGUGGUACCUGAAAAGAAGUUGCCCAUGUUAUUUUUCGCUUUUAUUUGUGACGAAACAAACAUGGUGCACUUCUUUUUCGAUAUCAAAACUCACCUUGGAGAGCUCCCCGUGGAAGAGAGGGAGGGAAGAGUUCGAGGGGUUUUGGGUCACCUGUUACUUUUCUCCAUGUGCACGGGAGCAUUUACCUCAAAGGAGCACAAUUUCCCCCACCCUCCCCGCCUUGGCUCUGUGUGUUGCUAGGUCCAGAGAUCCUUAGUGUCUGAAUGCCCACUUCCUGGGACAGGUAUAGUCAGUAAGGGAAACCAGGAAGCACACUCUUUUGUAGGAUGGAGUUCAGAUAAGAGAAGCCCAGAAAAUUAUAAAAAUCAAAGGACAGCAUUAUAAUCAAACAGCCAGUUCAAGCCAACCACCAUUUCCCUCUGACGACAAGUGUCUAGAAGUCAGCUGCAGGUGUCUGCACCAAGACUUACCAGUCGGUGAGUUCACAUACACUAUGACUCUAGAAAAGACUGGGCCCCCACAGCAGCCUUUCUCAGUAACCUCAAUGUCUCCAUGGCCAUCAGCAAGGCCUUGAGGACUGUGGGUGCUGGCUAUGAUGGGGACUAGGGAACAGCAUACCACCAUCAGUCACUGCUGUUUGUCUCUGAUCACUGAAGUUAGUCCCCCUACCCUGUGAACUAUCCUCUGGAGUGGGUGUGAAGCACCCCUGAAAACCCCUUUUUCCCAGUGGACUCAUCUUUAUGGCUAACCUCCUCUGGUAGCCUCCUCCUUUGAGUGUGGCUGCUUGAGCAGGGACCCUCGGUGGCUCUCUUGUGAGAGUGAGAGAGGGGACACUCCCCAGAGAGAGUGUGUGAACACCUCAUCCAUGCAUCUCCCCUGAAGGGAUUCCUGAAGCUGAGUCAAUACGAGAUAAACGGGAUCGCUCUUGGGGCUACCCUUUGCUGGGAUGCAGUCUAGCUCUUUCUUUGCUCAAGUUAUGAUCAAAGCUUUAGGUACACUCACGUGACUGCUGUCAUAACUCAUCAAAACCCAGUGCUGACCUCUUCAGAAAGAUAGUAACUUCAACCACACACUUAGAGCACUGACUUCCUACUGGUUCAGUGAUGCCCUUGGGCUGUGGCUCUACCUGGUAUUUUUUUUUGGGGGGGGGGGUCUGUCCCGCAAAGGAUAGAAACACCUCCGGAAAAGCAACUUGCUCUCCCUUUAUGCCCAUGGAGAAAGGCUACGGGGCACGGAACAGGCGUGGGCAACCCAUUUUCAUAGGUUGAAAAAUCCCUUUCCACCUGGUGGGUACUGGCCUCGGUGCUGGUGGAGCAGUGAGCACGCCAUACAUUAUAUCUGUGACACCUGCCACCCAGCCCAAGGCCCCUAGGCCCACAUACUUCUGGAGGGGAGUUUAUCGUGGAUUCACCAAAGGAAUGCAGAGGACACUUGGCCAGAAAUGCCUCUGGUCGUCAUCCCAGGUAACCUGGUGUGUUCAGUUCCGUUUCACAUUUAGCUUUGUGCUUUAUUGGCAGGCUUCUAAGUGCCGGUACUCAACACUACAUCCCAGGUACGUGUAGGCCCAGAGGGAGCCCUCCAUCUUUGAGGGUAAAAUAUUCUCUGGGCGCAAUACCUCACCAUCUGUCUCUUUCACAGGAGAAGCCUGGGCAGGACCGCCACAGCUGUCCAGAGAGGACCCAAGGGACGGUGUCCACAUCAUGGUGUUUGUUCGUAGAAGAUAUUAAACACUGACCUCUUUUGAGCACAAAAUCCCUCCUUGAAGGGCUCUCUGUACCCGGUGUCAGGUUCAGGAGCACGAUGUGGGUGUCGUCCCCUUGCUGAUGGCAGGCAAGCAGAUGGCUGGCCAGAUGGCAAGUGGUUUUUGUUUAUUUAUUUUCUUAUCUUGAGACCUGAGAGUUUAUUGAAUGAAUCAUCCUGAAAUCUAAUUUCCCAAGGCAAAUCUGUACAUAAAAAUCUAGUUUCUAUCACAUCGCUUCCUUUUUAAUUGAUUGACAGAUGUGAGCAAAAGCAUGUCUAGUGUGCAGUUCAGAGUUUGAGAAUUUCAAAGCAUAGACUCUUCCUUCCCAGGUCCACCUAGGUCUGAACGAAUGGACAAGCGUGAACACCCAAUGAAAACAUGACCCCACCGAGGACAAGACGAAGGCGGGAAUCUUCAUGAGUCUGUGGUAUUCAUACUCAUGCUUAUUGUACAACUCAUGUAAUACAACAUUUUUUCCAGAACACUUUUUUUUUUUGCAGCAUGUUCUCGUUGUAAUUCAGGGUUACUUUGAAUUUACUGUGUAGCUGAGGCUGACUUUGAACUUCUGAUGCUCCUGCCUGCCUCUACUUCCCAAAGGCUGGCAUCAAAGGUUUGUUACCAUAACCAACUCAAUAGUGUUUGUUGCUCUUGCAGACAACCAGAGUUCAGUUCCCAGCACCUACACUAGAUGGUUCACAAUUGCCUACAAUUAACUUUGGGGAAUCUGAUGUAGUCUUCAAGCCUCCUUGGGUGUGGGUGUGGUGCAUGCACGCACGCGCGCGCGCGCACACACACACACACACACAUGGAAAGUGACUACAGAAGACAACAGACAUUGAUCUCCUAUCUCUACACACAGGCACAGCAAGCACACUGGCAAAAAACACACAUGCAUACACACACACACACACACACACACACACACACACACACACACAAGAACCUAAACCUAGUUGAAAAUUGUUCCUCAAGAGUGCACUCAGCUCACACAGAAAUACAUUUGCAGCAGCUGUUCCUGGGGUCAAGAGAGAUGAACACAGUUACUCUAGUAACCAACUAUCAGAUCCCCUAACCAAUUCUGUCAUGCUUCUUCCUAGGGUCUCCUGGUUUCAUGAGGGAGCGCUAUGAAGGGAAGCAGCUUUAGUCCACUGUCUGUCACAGUGAUCCAUUGAACCUGUGUGUUGGCGCCAUCUCAACUCAUCCUACUCCCCAGAAAACGUCCUUGAUGUCACCAGUACUCCAUGGUACCUCAGUGCCCAUGAUGGGCUUUAUGGAAUGGAACUGGUUUGGGGACCCACAAGGGGACAGAUUCCUUGUCAUGAACUCUCUAGGAGGGGUGGGCAGGGUUAGAGUGGUCCCCUACUAGACUGUGUGACUAGACUGUGAGGGUAUGUUUAACUGUGAGGUGGCCUGCAGACAUACUUCUGUUGUUGCUGUAUUGCACCUAGGUAAGGGCUCCCCAGAGCUGUCUAGUUUCUGAUAUUCAAAAGGUGAGUGUUCUUCUAUGCCUCUGGUUAAUCAUAGAGGUAACACCCACAUUUUCAGUAUCUCGAGUUGUUCUGGGAUGUUUCAGAAUGCAAAGUGCACCCUAGGAAAAAGCAAGUCAUCCCCUACUCCCCUACCCAGUGGACAAGGGAGAGAUGGAUCCCACAACCUGUGCUUUCCACAGCAAGGUUGUUCCAGGAAUCUGUGUCCUCUGGGGGCUGUGCCGAGGGCGCCUGUCUGCCGUCUUCUUCAUUUCUGACGGAUUAGGCCUCGGCUCUUUCUCUUCAGGACUAGAUCUUUUGGUAUUUAAAAGGUGGAUAUUCCUUCUAUGUUUAUGGUAUUUAUGAUUAAACAUAGAGGAAAUUUCACGUUUUCAGUGUCAAAUGCUGCUGGGAAAUGGGCCUGAACUGAAGCCACCAUCAGGGCAGUGACAGGACAGUUGCCCCUCUUGGGUAAGUGGGAGGUCAGUUAUCCACAGGGUGUGUGCCAGGCAUGCAGGUGCCUGAGGGCCACCGGUUAAUAUUGAAGAGAUUCUCUGAUGGGCUGCCAGUUCAGUCAGAGGCUAGGGGGGUCCCACUCUGGAAUCCACAACAGCUGGUCAGUCUUUUCCACUAUGUCACUUUUGUCUCAGAUAGGACUGUCCUAGGUCGGACUUUCCCAGAGUAAGUCUUGUUUGAUAUCUAAAAGGUAGAUUUCCCUUCUAUGGUUGUGUGCUCGCUGAAUCCGCCUGGGAGAUGAGGCUGGGUUCAGUGCCCUCCCUGGUAAGUGGGAAGAUGGUGAACUGCAGAACAUGUGUGUUUCUCGUGUCGUAUGUCUGCUGACCGUCACCUUUAAGGGUCUCUGCCUGUACAGCCAGCCUGGUGUCUGGGCCUGAGAAGGGGAAAUGCUUCUGUCUUGUAGUCUGUUUCAGAUGAGCCAAGCAGCAAGACUGGUCCUUCCCGGAAGUCAGUCCUUCUUUGGUAUUUAAAAGGUGGAUAUUCCUUCUAUGGUUACGUGCUUCCUGGAUAAUCAUAGAGGAACAUCCACUUUUUCAGUAUCAAAUGUCGCUCUGGAACUAUUUCUGGAAGAUU